rnacentral:lncRNA from 1 species
UGUAGAAAAGCAAAUCCGUGAAAAAUUUGAGUUCACAACAAAGAACAUUGCGUACAUUUACCAAGGAAAAGUGCUUAGCCUCCUAUCAGGACUUGAUCUUUCUUGCAACAAGCUAAUCGGUCCUAUUCCUCUUCAAAUUGGAAAUUUGACAAGGAUUCAAACAUUGAAUCUAUCACACAACAACUUGACAGGAUCGAUCCCAUCAACAUUUUCAAACUUGAAGUAUGUCGAAAGUUUGGAUCUUUCCAACAACAAAUUGAAUGGGAAAAUCCCUCAUCAACUAGUGGAGUUAAAGACAUUGGAGGUUUUCAGUGUGGCAUACAAUAACUUAUCAGGCGAAAUUCCAGAAUGGACUGCACAAUUUGCAACCUUCAAUGAGAGUAGCUAUGAGGGAAAUACUUUUCUUUGUGGAUUGCCAUUGCCCAUUUGCAGAUCACCAGCAACUAUGUCGGAGGCUUCAAUUGGCAAUGAACGAGAUGAUAAUUUAAUUGACAUGAACAGUUUCUUUAUCACAUUUACAACAUCGUACGUAAUUGUGAUAUUCGCAACUGUUAUUAUUUUAUAUGUAAAUUCUUAUUGGCGACGUAGAUGGUUUUACUUUGUUGAAAUGUGGAUAACUUCAUCUUACUAUUUUGUUGUAGACAAUCUUAUUCCAACAAGAUUUUGUCAUUGAAAUUAAUUAGUAGCUUAAUUACGAUUCUUUAAGUACUAAUCAAGUUUGCUUAGGAAAUAUUUUUUUAUUAAAAUUGUAGUAGUAUUUAGCAUUAUAUAGCUUCCAACUUCCAAGCACUUCACAUUUGUCUCUACACUUAAAAAACUGAGUAAUCAUGUUUUGCAGAUCUGUCCACCAUAACUUAUAGCUUCCCUAUACUGUGCAGCAUACUUAAAUAAGAGAACCAUCUCCAAUGUUAAAAGCAUUCACUCUAUAACAUUCAUUUAGAAACUAUAUUCAGAAUAAUUUUAUAAUUAAACACGAGAAAUGAAACACAUAGAUACACUUGAUCGCCUAUUUUACUCUAAAAAAGAACGAUUAUUGUGCUAUCAUCAUCUUCUUCACUAGCAACAUUAACACCAAAUCGAUGGACCCAUACAUUUCAUCAAGAAAGGUAUAUAUCCAAUAAAGUUGAAGCCUAACAAAAAAUUCAAGAAGAUUAAUGCCUCGCCACAACAAGGGGCACAACAACAUCAAAGUAGAGAUUAAGCAGUAUUCUCAAAGCUAAAACUCUCAAAUCCACCCACCAGAAUUUCAUAUCUCCUCAACAAUUUUAAGAACUAAAGAUAAUUAGGAUUUAACAUUAGUUUUUUAUAUAUUAGUUUCAUAAUUUACAAAUCAAUGAAGAUGAAGAUUAUGCUAAUAAAUUCAAAUUAUACCAUACAUUCUCUAGAUGUUACCAAAAAUUUCUAAGUCAAUCCCACAUAUUUCAUAAUUUUAAGACUAGAAAAUUUCACUAGUUAGAAGUUUCAUUACCUUCAAGUGGAAGAUAAAGAACAUUAUACAAGUGAUUCAGAUUAUAUCAUACAUACUCCAAAUGCAACUAGAAAUUAACAAGUUCAUGCGCACAUAUUUCAUAACAUUAUGAUUGAAAAGUUUCACAAAGAGAAAUUCUAAAUUCAAUCUCUUGCAUGAAGGCAGUUUGAUUGAUUUGAGUUACUUUCUUAUCAAGCUACUAAUAUAACAUUCAAGUCAGGGAGAAAAUAAAUUAAAACUGGGAAGAAAUAAUAGUAAAAAUUUGUUGCUCAACAUGAUGUGUAUUUUUUUUCAAGGCAAUUUGGAAACACAAUUGUUACUACAGAUAUUCUUCUCAACUUGGAGAUAAAUACAAAUAUUAAAAUGCAUAUGAUCGCACAUAUUACUUCGAGUUUAGUAAGAUUUCAUUAAAAGAAGCAAUCAAACCACUUAUCAAUUGUCGCAGUCGUUCUAUAAACUAAAAUAGCAAUAUAAUACAAGAAAAAGAACAUAUAGAUACUUGGCAAGAGUUCAUUAAGAAGUCGCAUCACAUUCGGGUGAGGAGUUUGCUUCUGAUAUCUUGCUAGCUGGGGCUUUUUCUUGUCUUUCUACGUAUGCCGAGGGAAACCAACCAGCUUGGCCCUUGCAUUCACCUUCCGACCAUCCAAUAGGAGCCACCUUGAGAAGUUAUAACUAAAACGGUGAAUUAAACAAAAGUUGACCGUUCAAAGACCUAAGGGGAAAACUAAUUCUUUUACGUAGGAGGAGUGAAUUAGUUGUGAUCACUGAAAUAACAGCAUAACUAUGGAAGCAUAACAAGAUAUAAAUUCACACGUCUAUAAGGAUAAACUGGGUGGUUCAGAACUGAGCUAGCAACCCUACUAUAUUCUGAUUUGCACUUCAAUGUAAAAGGGAAUAUAUGGUAGGAAGAAAGAAAACCAACCAUCAUUUGUUAACUCAUUGCUUUUCAAUCAAAAUUUUAAGAACAAAAUGCCAUGUGCUUUGAACAUCAAAUAAGUAUAAGCAUUAGUUCUAAAUUCCACAUAUCAUAAGUUGUUAGAAGGAUAAGUUAAUAGCAGAGUAGAAAAAUCUAUGUGUUGGUAUUUAGAGGGGAAAGUACCUGGCGAAUCACAACAUAAUCAUCAAUUGAAAGACUUAGCUCUCCAUUUGCUUGAGCAUCAAAUGGAUGUAUAACCUGCAAGAUAAUGGGAUAAAUAGAACUUAAAAAAAGCAUAACAAAAGCAGCAACAGUAGCAGCAACGUUCAUUGUAACCACUAUGAUCAUGGCCAACAAAGAUAUAUUAGAAACAAAAUUCCAUUUUUACUACGACAUUAAUAUGUACUAUACAAAUUCUAAUAAGUUCUGUAUAACUUUAUGUAGUUAUUUAAAUUAUGGAUCAGAUUUUAAAUUUGAAAUUUUGACUGCUCUCCACAAAACAUGGCCUAUGCACAAGAAAGUCAUAGAUAAUGAGGAUUACAAGUGUCCGGCAUCUUUUGAGUGAUGGAUUUAACAUGAGAGCUUAUGGUCAGUCAAUUUCCUCUGCCUAGCAAUAUAAGCUUUCUCGGCCAGAUUUAUCAUCAAAUACAUAGAUUGCCCCCAAGUCACAUCCAUAUAAACAUAGUUUUUCUAGGUAAACCAAGUAAGGAGUAUCAUAAUUCAGACAUAAUCAUAAAAAGGCCCAUCUAAAUUAAGAGAAAAUCUCAAAAAGAGGGAUGCUGAGCUAUCAGUCUUGUAUCUAUAAGCAAUAUCAAGACUUUACAUCACCUGCUACAUCGUGAGUGGCUACACAACUUUCAGUGGUUUGUCUUUCUUUGGCACGCCUAACUCAGCUUUGAUGUUAGUGAGAUAUUGAUAGUAGAGACACAUGAUACUUCUAGCUCAUGCAUUCUAUCUAACCCAUCCAACAACUAUCUCUUUUUUAAUUCAUUAGUGUUUGCUAAACCUCAUGCUUAAAAGUCCUAUUCUCCUUAGCACCACAGUUGGACACUUGUAGAGCAAUUUUAUUUGGGGGAAAAGAAUUUUCAAGGUGUUAACUAAUAAAUUUUAAAAAAUAAUUACAAUUUGUCCUACGAUCAUAUGACAAUUUAUCUGGGAUGAAAGGAUACAGAUAGACAUCUUCCACUUUCAAGACUAAUCACUACUUCCAUAGAUGUUGUGCAAUAAUACAAAUACUUGACCAGAUGGUAGUGAUGGUAGAAAAAAAUUUUAUUGCUCCAAAAUUAAAAUAAGAAUGCAAUAUGUUAAGCAAAAGGCUGUGCAACAUCAAAUUAAUUGAUAAGUUUGUAAUUCAGUAAAUUAACAACUUUCGUGGUAAAAUACAACAAAUUUCUUUUGAAAAAAAUAAAAAAAAUAAAUCUUAAAAGACAGCAUUCAAUUUUGUGCGCAUCUUAUUUCUUAAGAUUUUUCAGGAGGAGGGCAAUAGAGGGACUUUCACCUAUGCAAGAGAGCAGAAGCCUUACUUUCCCUAUAAAGUAGACGUCAUUCUGAUUAAUAUGCGUUUGCAAAUCAGCUCCGUUUGAAUCAGUAUUCUGAUAGACACACGAGCCAUUUACAUCCAUUUCCAAAGUCACAUGUUGCGAGGAGGACUCAUUUGAUUGCUCCUAUACGAUCAUCUAAUUCAAGUAGCAAGGGUUGGAAGAGAAUAAAAAGUCACAAUUAUUCUUUUGCAUAAGUGAGACGAAAAUGAUAAAUGCAAUAUUAUCAGCAGUAAACAAGAAGAGAACGCUCCAAGAAAUAGAUAGAUGCAGACAAGCAAGUUAAAAUGCAUAGUCCCAAACCUCCGCAUACAACUUCUCUAAAAUAGCAAUAACGUGUUGAUGCUAUGUUUUCUCAGCAUCUACCUGCAAAGGCCCGAGACCAGGAAAACAACAAUAAAACCACUAGCUGAAGGAGAAAGCAAAGAAAGAAAUACACUUGACAUAAAUCUUGACAAGAAGCACAAUUUAAGACAUAACAAACCCCAAUCAUAUUGUUUAGAACUACCAUUCGUUAUUUCGUUAUUGUAACAUUUCGAACAAGUGUUGACUUAAUUCAACAUUGUUGGAAAGAUGGGCUUUUAGAAGCAGAAGAAAGCCUCUCAAACCAAAGUGCUUGUCCUUGUAUUGAUCAAGGGAUGUAAACAUAUUACAUUUGCAGGAUGAGAUUUAAUCACUCCCCUGAUUUAUUUGGGUUGCAGUAAAACUAAGCGAGCAACUGUUUGACUUCCAAGCAACAGCUAAAUCAGCUAUUAAAAUUCAAAUAAAAUCAUAAUAGAAUAAUAACAGGCCAUCUUGCAUCAAAAAUUAAGUUUAAUUUGUGAAUUGUUUUCUAUAGACAUGUCAGUUUCUGCUAUUGAAAUGUUAAAAGCAUUGAAAAAUUAUUCAAUAAAUUAUGCAAGCAUUAAAAUAGAGGACAUAUUAAAAAGUUUCUAAUUACAAUGUUAAUAUUUCCUAUAUUCUAGCAUUUGCAUAUUUUAAUUUAUUUAAAAGCUACGUCGAUCAACUUUGGGCAUGAAGAUUUUAGCUUCUACGAGACUUGCUUGGAAUAUGCACAAGAGUGUUAAAAUAUGAUGCAUCCAACGAAAGACAAACCACGUGUAGUCUUUUAAUUAAGCCAAAGUAGCAGCUCAAACAAAUGACACUUGGACCAACAUGCAAUCAUGAAGUGGCCGGAAAAAGGACAAAUGCUACUUUGGCUUAAAUAAAAAAUAACAUGUGACUUGACUUUUGCUGGACAUGCAUCAUGUUAUUACAAGACAACAGAAAUCAGUAUGAUAGUACUAAAAGUUGACAAUAACAUGAAGAUAAGAGGCAGACUGUCAACACAUGCAUAGGCACACACAAGAAAGUAUUAACUUCUAUACCAUAGCAAAAAGUCUUUGAUAUGUCAUCUGUUGCUGCUGUGAUUCAACUGACAGCAUGGCAGCUGUUGCUUCUCUACCAAGAGCCAUUAUUGUAGAUUUAAGCUCCGUCUAUCUUGCUUCUGCAUUUCGAAGCUUCACAGCACUCUCUGCUGAUAUAUCAGAUUCCCUAAUCUUUGAUCGGCGCCUAAAUACUUCAGCUGCCUGGUGAAAAUAUUCAAUAUAAAUCUAACAUAAUUCUAAUCUUGCCUUAUACAUGCAUAUGUUACCUCAAAGCUUACCUGGGCUUCAACUUCAUGUCGAAGUUUGUCAUAACGAUGAGUCAGGUGUCGAGCAUCUUCCAAAGGUGUUCCGUUGAUUAACGCCCGUAGUGGCUCAGGUACCUACAUGUCCAAAAACCUGUAACAUAGUUAGAAAAAUGAAAAGAAAGAGCGAAACCUCAAUUAAAAAGUUCCUCCAACAUAAUCAUGGAAUUUGGGCCUACUUCAAGGAUAUAUAUAAGGAUAAUUUAUGCAAUUUUGGGUCUGAGGAUGAUUCAUAUUAGGUUAGUGUUCUUCUCUUCUGUAUUUAAGGUUAAAAUAGAAAUAAACCUAUGAAAAUAUCUAAAUUAGGGCUGUAAGACUUCCACAUGCAUCCUUCAGUCUCAUGGAUUUGAUUUUACUAUAGAUGCAAGUGUCUUUAAAGAAAAUGCUUGGAGUCAAUUGAGAGAACUCACGGCCAAAAACUUGUCACACGCUAGUCUUUGCUAGUGAUGUAAGAAGUCACAGGGUCUCUUCAACAUUUGAACCAAUAAAAUUAUUAAGUCAUGGAUGUCACUAGCAAUGAUUUUAAUAUAAAACAUUAAAUAUUUCAGAGUUGUAACUUUAAAAUGGAUUCUUUUAUUCAAUAUCAUAGAACUAAGUUUCCUUAUGAGAAGAUAAUAGUUUCGAUAAUAAUUUUACAUAUAAUUUUCUAUAUUUGAAUUAUUUUCUAGUUAGGGAUGAACUAACCUGAUCACGAAGAAUCCCGAGCAAAGUUUCCCUCUCAUUUUCCAUCAAAUCAUGUGAAGUGCCAAAUUGAAGAGCAGCUCUUGCAACGCAAGAAUUGUCACUUUGAUUCUCUGCUCCAUACUUGCAACAAUCUUCAGCCAACUUUCUCGCUACAAUAUUUGAAUACAAAAAUAUUGUACACAAGAACUAUAAAAAACUAAUGAAAAAUGCCAAGAUGGAGCAGAUGCUUCAAUACUGCCCGUACAAACCAUAAAAAACUAAUGAAAAAUAAAUAAAAUCAAGAAAUUUUACUAAUUAAAAGUCUAAAUAUAAUUUUGAAAAAAGAAAAGAAACGGACUUGCUGCUGCUUGGCGACUUGUUCUCGGAGCUUGAUUGCUUGUUUCUUGAUAGCUUCCAUACUGUUUCUUUCAAAAAGCGACGACGGCUCAGCUCAUGGAAGUGGAAAAAAAAAGUGUGAUCGAGAAAAAUGAAAAGGCGUGAAUAAUUUUUGACAAAAAGCGAAAAUCAAGGAAAGCCGGCUCUUUCCAGAAAAUAAAAAAAGAAAAAAGAAAAUCAUAAGUUUGAAAGGAGAAGAUGAUAGUGGAAGUAUGCAGUGUGGCUGCCAGGUACUUGGAUUGUAUUGUCGGGUAAGGUAAAAGUGGAGAAUUAUAAGUUUGAACAGAGCAUGUUGGACUUUUGUUGACCAAAUUCAAAAGCCCAAUGGGACGGUCCAGAAGCUUUUGAAUAGAAAAACUUGCUAGAAAGCAUCAGUUUAAAUCACUACUUAAACGCUUGCUUUAACUGCACCGCUUUGUACUGUUUUAUGUAUGUAGCGGUUGUGCGGUUGUAAUUCACGGCUGACGCUACGUGUUUGUUUGUACUGUUCUAUUCGGUGACAGAGUAUUAUUAGUUAGGCCAAAACUAUGUUGCAACAGUGGUACAAUAGCACUGUUGUUUUCAGUCAUUAGAUCUAUAGUUGUACAGUUGCAUUAACAAGAUCCAAUGGUUGAAAACAACAGUGGUACCGAACUACUGUUGCAACAUAGCUGGACCCUAUUAGUUAUUUCAAAGGGAUAAAUAAGAUUGGUUACAACAAACCUACUAAUUUUAUAAAAUUCAAGUAAUAUAGAAUAAAAUAAAAAAAUAAAUACAAAAUUGACUUUUAUUUUUUAUGGUUGACUAUAUUUUGUGUUCUCUUCGGGCACUGCUACAAUUCUUCCCUAUAUAUCAAUUACACCACAUACUAUCGACACAAGAAAUGAAAUCUAAUAUCACCUAUUUAGUUAAAAAAUCACUCAUGAAAAAAUUUUACCAUUUUGAUUUGAGGAUCCAUAUUUUGAACUACAAGCUAAUGUUCAUCAAGAAUCACUGAUGGCCGUUGAGUAGAAAAAUUAUUUUUGGACAAAUUAUUUUUGUUGAUAGAAGAAUUUCUUUAGGGACUACUAAAUUAUUAAUAAAAAUAUCGAACACACCCAAAUAUCAUCGACACAAUUGAUUUUGAGGAUCCAUGCUUUGAACUGCCGCCUAAUGUUCAUCAAGAAUAGAGUAUGGCUUGUGAGUAUAAAAUUUUCUUAUUUUGGCCCGAAAUAAAAAAAAAUUAAAUUGGAUGAGAAUCUGCCACUUUCUCAUGAAGAAAGGCAUACGGAGCAUACCAUGGUACCAUACAAUAUAAGGAGCCUCCGUUCUUUGGUUUUUCAAACUCUGAAGGGGCCAAUAUUGCCAAAUUCCCCCUUGAAAAUUCUGAUUACGACAUUAUUCAUCGCUUGAUGCAAUCAAAGUAGUGACAAAGUAAUUGCUAGGCAAGGUUGCUGAGAGCAAAAUUGUCCUAAGCAUUAUAUGCAUACAUGGUGCGGUACAUAGAGCACGUUGAAUUCCCCACUAUAACACAAAUCCAGAAAGACAAGUAAUAACUCAACUGAUAUAAAGACAAAAAGAAGAUAAAAUGAUAUAGAACAAAGAAUUUCAAAGAGACAGCAACAUACGAUAGACUGAAGCCACUUGAUCUGCUCAUUGAUUGCAGCCUUAAACUUGCAAAUAGUUACUGUACGCUAGUGCUCUAAGAAGUGAAAAUGAUGCAAGCCCUGAUUCCCUUUUGACUUCCAUUUACUGUCAAACAUUCUAGUAAUACAAAAAAUUGUUUAGAUAUCUUGCUAUAAAUAUAGCCGUUUGACUGUCAUAAUAAAGUCACAAAUAACCAUUCAUAUUGAUCUACUAUCACACAGCAUGCUUUAUGCAUACAACAGCUGUAUGUAUACCAACUCCUAACCUUAUCAACACAUUUGGCAAAAACUUAGGAAGAAAACUAUUUCUCCAUCUCUUUUUUGAAAUUUCACAAUAACCAGCACAAUGUGAAAGCUAUGUUCUAACCUUAUGAUAAAUGCUCCAGACUCCAAAAGGAUUUUAUAUAUGAGAGUUUGUUGCAGCAGAUAUAUUGACUUAUCAAGUAUGAAUCAUUGUCUGGAUGAACUAUCUUUAGAUAAAAGAAUAUUAGAACCACUGUAGAAUAUCUUUACGCUGCUGGUUCUAACAGGAAUCUGCAUGUGGCAACAAUUGCUAGAUCCACAACUCCCCAACUUGAAAUACAUAGUUGCACACCAUGAGAUAGUGCUACAAUCUACUGAGAUCUAACUUAUAUGGUACUUUAAGCUACUAAUGUUUGCAUAUUUCUACAUGUUAAAUUAACACUAUUAUCUAUAAUCACUCCAAAACAACAAAUGAUAAGCAACUUUUGGCCACUUAUUACUAGCAUCCACAAUUAUAAAUAAGAGAUCAUGGGUUUACUUGUUGCACCUACUUAAUUAUCUGCAGUUGACAUCCUGACGCAAGGUUUAAAUAGUGACUGCUUAGAACCCUUGUAGUUGGAUCUUGACCUCUCCCAUUGUAGCCAAGAUUGGUUACUCUGGUAAUGAAUCAACACUCUCCUGCUCAGGGCCAUGAAGAUCUGAAAGCUCAGCACUAGUGGAGAACUUCAUCAAUCUCUUCUUCUCAGCAUACUUGAGACAAGGCUGCCUUACGAGACCAAUCACCAUAGCACCAACGCUUAAAACUGCAACUUUUAAAGAAGAAAGAGCCAACACAACACAACACAACACAAAUCAAUAUGGUUGGAGGAAUACACAUGAUAAUGGCUCCAACAGUGACAGUGGGUAUCUUGUAGGGACGAGAUGCAGCAGGAUAUUGCAUCCUUAACCAUACAAAUGCUAUGAACUCCAUAAUCAUUCCAAAACAGUACAGGAAGUUCUCUGCAGCUACAAUAUCUCAAAAGCUCAGCCAUGAUAGCAAAACCACACCGGAUGCUGAGAAUAUGAUUCCAAUCAAAGGAGUCCCAUAACAAGACCUCUUAGCAAAAAACUCAGGUAGCGUUCCACGCUCAGCCAUCCCCAAAAGUUGGAAAGAGUCGCUGCUCAUCUCAGCCACAAACAUGCCCAUAUUGGACAUUGCUGCAGCCCCCUGGAUGCACCAUCUCAACCAAACUCCUCCAAGCACUUUAGCGAUAUCUGAAAAGUAACCAUCGGUCCACAAGUCGCGAUCUAAUGGAAUAGCUCCAGUUCCAACUAGAAGGGGAAAGAAAUAUCCAAAAACGACCAAGAUCAAAGCAUAAAACAAAGCCUUUGGAAGAGUCUUCUUUGGGUUAUCCACCUCUCCAGCUAGUUUACUUAUUGAGUCCCAGUAGUUGGAGAUUCCAAAACAGGGUGUUCAAAUACAAAUUCCAGUCCACUUCACCUAAAUUUACUACAAGCCAUCUUGAAGGCUCUAACUUGGGAAGGGACACAAGUCCCAUAACCACAAAAGGAAGGAAUGAGAAAAUCUCUAAAAGAACAGCAGCCCAUCCCACAAUGGUUAGACCCCUAUAGUUCAUGAAAGUGAGAACAAAAGUCAAAGCUAACGCCGCAAAGGCUCUAGGUAACCCAUCGCCCAAAGCAGGGAUAUACCAGACUUCAAGUAGUCAAGAAACAGAACUGGGUAUAAAGCAUUAUCAAUAACCCCACUUAGCCAUUUCAUCCAAACUUGCUGAAAACCCCAAUAUGGGCCUAAGGCAGAUGAAACCCAAACCACAUAACCACAAUUUUCAGGAAACACGGUACCCAUCUCGGCAGUAAUUAAAGCUUCAGGGACACUCCAUAUAAUCGGAAACACCAAGAAACCAAGAAGUGCUAAAAGAGGACCAGCUGCCUUUACACUAUCCUCAACACCAAACGCCCCCCCAGAAACCUCAUAGAAUAUAAGGAAAAUAAGUGGCAAGAUUGAUACUUUUUUAGCGCCAUGGACUCUAGGAGAAGAUGGUUGGUCAUUGAUAUUAACAUAUUCAACAGCAUCAGACUGCCCCAUUUCUACUGAAAGUUGCCUAUUCACAGUGUUCCUCAAUUUCUGCAUCAAGUUUAAGCAUAACUAUCAAAAGGGUAUCGGCAUCUAAAUUAUGAAACAAAAUGAGCAUUUACUUAUUAAAAAAAUUCAAAAAAACAGAAAUGGAUUUCACAGAACACAUGAAUUUAAGUUCAACAUUAAACAGGCGCUUAAGAAAACAAAAGGGUCUGGUCGUAAAGCCAUCAGAUUGCAAGAUUGAACAACAUUAACGGAAUCAAUAGAAUCGAUGUAAAGAGAUCUGAAAAGAAAAUAAAAUAAAAGAUGAAGAGGGAUAAAACGACCCAUCAAAUAAGUGCAUGCAGAGCAGAGAGGCAGAUACUAGAGAAGCUCCGUCAUGUUAGAGAGAGCCUAAAUCAAUCAGAGCUCACUGAGUUUCUUUUCAACUGACCGGCAGAUUUGGAGUAGCAUAACAUAAUAUUUUUGCUUUUAAUUUUCGGAACACUUUUGAAUGGAAUUUUUUGUUUUUCAAAACUAACGAAAUCGUAAAAAUAAAUAAACACGUGUUUGGUUUUGGGCUUCUUCUUUUGUUCAUUUAAUAUCAUUUGGUUCCCUGAUUUUUGACUAAUUAUCAACGGUAUCCUGUUAGUUUCCAAAUUGAAAUAAUAUUAGGUCAUGAGAUUAUUUACUCCAUUUAGCAAUGUAGACUUAAUAGUGUAUUGAAAAAGCUUUGUCAAAUAGUAGUAAUAGGGGCAUAAGAAAUAAGUUCUUCAGAAUUUAGAUAAUAUACUUGGCUCUAGGAAGAUUCCCCUCUUAUCACUCAAGUUAGGCUUUUACCUUAGAGUUGAGUAAAUUAUUAAAAUAAAUUAUAGCUAUCACAAAUUCGUCAGGAGACUUUCAAUUUUUUUCCAUCAAAUGGCAAUGAGGCAAAAUUACCUCAACUUAUAUUUCAAAACUAAUACUUCAAAUUCUGACAAUAAAUUUGAUGACAGUCAAUUUUAUGUAUAGUAAUUUUGACUCUUUUGUUUGGUCUAAAAGUAAUUAUUUAAAAUGACAAUAUAACUUAUUUAGAAGAAAUGGUAAACUUAUAGUUCGUAAUAUUAUUUACACAAAUAAUAAAGACUAAUUUGAUAAUAAUCUUUCAAAUAAUAAUGAAGUGUUAAUUACUAUUUAACAUUUUUGAUUAAUUUCUAAAUUUAAAACAAAUAUGAAAGUUGAUUGCUUUGAAGGUUGGAUCGUGACAAAUUGACAAAUGAAAAGAGAAGUAGAGAAUAUAUAUUCUGAUGAAAGGGACAAGAUUCAGCAAGGGGACAAUAUUCUCUAUUGGACCGACAAAUGGGGGAAAAGAAUAUAUAUAUAUAUAUAAUUUCUUAUUUGUGGAUUGGCCAACACGUGUAACAAAUAUGAAAAGAUAAAAUUUGGCGUGGUUUUAACCGAUAUAAGACAAGAAGAACAAAGCAAAGCCCAUGAAAAUUCACCUUUCAUGUGGGUUGGAUCGGAUAAAAUCAAUAUCUUGAAUCAAACAAAAUGUUUGGUACAUAAAGUUUUUUUUUUUUACAUGAUAUUAGAUUUUUAUCCCUCGAAUUUUUACAUGAUAUUAGAUUUUUAACCCUCACUAAUAUUCGAGAGAUAUCUACUCCUCAUUUUUGGGUAAGGGAGAAGACUACCUUCACUCAAUUAUAAUUAAGGAAUGAAAUACCCCCACAUUACACUUGUAGGGGUUCAAACUGUUGCCCUCCAACUUGGAGUGCAGCAGCGCUGACCACUCGGCCAAAGUCCGAGUGGCUGGUACAUGAAGGUUUUGAGUGUGUGUAAUGAGCCAAAAUUUACAUAAGGAUAUUUUAGUAAAUAUAAGAAAAAAAGGCUCAGGGAAUGGCCUAUAGAUAGAAGCACGCAGCCCAUGAGUGAUGAGAAUACAAUUUAACUGUUCAAACUAAUUAGAAGCAAAUUCUUUCAUAUCUUUCUUUAAUUUUUCCGCUUAGUUCCUUAGCAUCCAAUCAAGUUCAAGUUAAAACACUGUUGAGACAACAAUAUGCAGGCAUCAAUAAGCAUAGUAGUUUUUUAUAUGUAUUCUAUACGACAAUUAUAGAACUUUUUGCAGCAACUUUUUUUCAUUAACUAAUGUUUGAAGAACUUGUUAAAAAAAAUGGUAAAUUUAUAAUUUUGAAAAAAAAGAAAGAAAGUGACGUUACCUCAUCGUCAUUAGAGACUUGUUGCAAUGAUAGCUCAAAAUUAAAAUUUUUGAAGAAUUAGUAGACGACGAUGAUGUAAUAUUUAUACAGUCACCAACAUGUUGAUUUUUGUUUAAUGUUUGAUCGAUAGAAACGCUUGUCGUCGUCGCUGUUGUUGAAUUCAUACAUAGAACACAGAAGAGAAGGAGGGAGGAAAGGGAAGAGAAGAAGAGAGAAGUGGCAUAUAGCAAAUAUGAUAUGCUAGCUGCAUACCAGCCUUAGAGAGAUUUUUUUUAAUAUUUAUUAUAUUUUUGUUUUUGUUAUUGGUUUGUCAUAUGCUUCCAGGGAAGCAAUACGUUACAUCAUAAAUUGCACCUUUUAGGGGAGGUGGUAAAAAACGUGAGAGCACUACGCUCCAGCGCAUACAUAUAGAAAGAGUUUUCGAAUUUUAAAAAGUUUCUUUAUUUCUUCCAUGUUUUUGUGCUUAAAAUAAAAUUUAAUUGUAUUUUGCAUUAACUUAGAAAAGAAAAGCCAGUUCUAUAUAUAAACUCAUGCAUUAAUUAGAAGAGUUGAACUAUUGGCACCCCUCUAUAAUCUUUAUAAAAUUCCUCUCCUAUUGUAAUUACAUUAAAGGACAAAAUAAAUCUAAUUAUAUCAUUAUAUUUCUCUUUUCAACUCUUUACACCCGUGCAACUACACCAAAGUCUUUUACAAUUUUUGUUUCCUCACAAACAACUUUUUCUUGAGAGAUUUACAAAACUUAUUUUUAAUUUUAAAAAAUAAAUAAUAGUUAUUUGAGUCCACUUUAAUUUACAAAACUUUCUAAUAAUAAGUUUUGUAGACUUAUUUUUCAUUUACAAAACUUUCUGAACUUAUUUUUAUUUUUAAAAAAUAAAUAAUAGCUAUUUGAGUCCACUUUAAUUCUACUUAAUUCAUACAUGUAUUUGAUUUUUUUGAGUAAAAUAUGUAUGAUUUAAUAAUUCAAAAAUUUAUAAAAACAAUAUUUGUAAUUGGAGUUAUUUGGAAGAAACUGAAUUGUUUUUCUUUUUGAAUAAAAAAAAGCUGAAAAAAGAAAAAGGAUAUUUUAGGAAUUAAAAUAGAUUUUGAUAGAAAAGGGGUUUGAACAGAAAAUUACAGGGUGCUAAUAGUCCCACUCUAAUUAAAAAAUGAGUUCAUGUGGAUGCAAAUGUACAAUAAAAGAGAUUCUCUUUUGUAUAUUGGAAGUAACAUAACUAGUGAGUAUAAUAUGUAAAUACAAGUUACCAAGAAUUUGCACUAGUGCUAAUUAAUGGCACAACUUUUGAGCUAUGAAUUUCUUCUUGAUAGUUUAAUUAUAUUUUUGAGUUUUCGGUAAACCUAUUUUAAUAAUUAUUAAAUUAUUUUCACUUCUUACGCCUUAAUAAAAAAAAAUCAAUAUUUUCUGGUCUAUUCUAUAUUUUGAAACUUAAUUUUUAAUUCUUUAUAUUGCAAACCAAACUAAGUCAAACAGAGUAUGCUCUUCAAAGAAUUUUUCCAUUGGCCAUUGCCUUCAAGAAGAUUUUAUUUUAUUUUUAUAUAUUAAUUUAACAUUUUUCCGUGCACUUGUAAACCGGGCCGUCGGAUUCCACAUAAAGCAAAUGAUCAAACCGUUACAAGACCGACCCGGACCCACUGACUCUCAUUUUCUUUCAUUUGACCAUUAAAAGCUUUUGACCACCCCCGCCAAAUAAAUAAAUAAGCUCUUGUUCUCUUUUGUUCCUUCUUAAAGGAAAAUAUAUCUGAUCACCAGAUAAUGAUUCCGGUGUCACAAAAUAUCAAGACAACCCCUAAAUUCCCUUAAAUUUACGAUAACACCCCACCAUGGAUGAUUCCGUUGAAAUGCCGCCUUACGAUGAAAGGCCUUAGAAGGGUUUUAACUUCACACCCAUGCGCUUGAUCUUAACCCUCAUUUUCCCAAUUUUAACUUUCUUUUCGUUGGCAUUUUUGAUCGAGAUCGUUACUGUUUUAUUCGGCGAAUCAUCAGUUUCGAGUUCCAUUUUUGUCCCUUCCCAGUGCAAGAUAGUGCCAGCAGUAAGCUUUUUUAAAAUUUUCAAUUUUUUUCCAUUUAUGAAGCUCAAAAAUUUUAUUAAUUUUUGAAUUUUUUUUGAAUGAUUUUGCAGGUGUUGAUAUAAGGUCAUCAAAGGUUUGUGAACUUGGAGUGUUGAAUUAUAAGGCGAAGCGUGUGUUUUAUCCAUUUGAAGCAAGUAAAUUUCGCCGUCGAUAUGAUUACUAUUGGGCUUCUAUCUUCAAGGUAUUCAUACAUUUUCUCAACUUUAAUUACUUACCUGUACUAUUAGCUUCUUAGUGGCGGUCUUGUUUUGUGUUUUUGAUGAAUGUGUUUAAGGGUCAGUUUGGGAAUGCUGGUAAUAGGAUGUUGUUAGUGUUUGGCAGUAAAUUUGCUAUGCAUAAUUCAGCAAUGUGCUUGAUUUUGGUUAUUGUCUUUAACAAUUUUUAGGUAGAGUACUUAGAUCAUUCACUGGGACAAACGCAGAGCUUGGUUGACCAAAGAUAAGUUCCAGGCUGGGGUCGGCAAUGCAGAGCUUCUGCGUGUAUUAAAAUUUGAAGCCUAGUAAAUGAAUUUCUAAUUUAUUUAUAGUGUUUGUUUUAUCUUGAUAGAAAUGAAUGCUAACUCAAGAUUUUCCCAACUUUGAUUACUUACCUGUACUAUAAGCUUCUUAGUGGCGGUCUUGUGAGCGGUGUGGCUGACAGCUUCUUGAAAAUUAUAAGUUUGAACAGAGCAUGCUAGACUUUUGUUGACCAAAUUCGAAAGCCAAAUGGCACAGCUCAGAACCUUUUGAAUUGAAUAACUUACUAGAAAGCUCCAAUUUUUUGUUGGCUACGGUAAAAGGAUGUUGUUUUAUUCUUCUUAUACUUUACGCUUGCAUCAGCUUAAAUCACUUCUUAAACGCUUUGCUUUAACUCCACCGCUUCAUACUGUUCUAUAUAUGUAUCGGGUAUGCGGUUGUAGUUCACUGCUGAGACUACGUGUUUGUUUGACGUGGUAAUUACGUUACGAGUCUGUUAAACAUUCGGUGAUUAAAGUAUUAUCAGUUAUUUCGAGGGGACAAAAAAGAUUAGUUACAACACACCCACUAGUUUUAUAAAAUUUGAAUAAGAUGGAAUAAAAUAAAAAAAUAAAUAAGUAAAUUGACUUUUAAUUUAGUGGUUGAAUAUAUUUUGUAUUCUCUCGGGGUACUGCUGUAAUUGUUCCUUAAAUGUCAGUCACACCCACAUGUUACAGACACAAGAAAUGGAAUCUAAGAUCACCUGUUUAAUUAAAGAAUCACUCAUGAAAAAAUUUUGCCAUUUUGAUUUGAGGAUCCACAUUUUGAACAACCAACUUAUCUUCAUCAAGAACAGAUCAUGGCCUGUGAGUAGAAAGAUUAUUUUUGGACAAAUUAUUUUUGUUAAUAGAAGAAUUUCUCAAGGGACUAUUAAAAUUACUAAUAAAAAUGUCAGACACACCCACGUACCAUCGACACAAUUGACUAUGAGGAUCCAUGUUUUGAACUGCCACUUAAUGUUCAUUAAGAACAGAGUAUGGCUUGUGAGAAGAAAAUUUUCUGAUUUUGGCCUGGAACAAAAAAAAAUUAAAUUGAAGGAGAAUCUGGUACUUUCUCAUUAAGAAAGGCAGACGGGGCAUACUAUGGUACCAUAAAAUACGAAAAGUCUCCAUUCUCUAGCUUUUUAAACUCUGAAGGGGGCAAUAUUCCCCAAUUACCCCGUGAAAAUUCUGAUUACGACAUUACUCAUCGGUUGAUACAUAAGUACAAGUACUGACAAAAUUAGGAAAAAUAUGACUCAUAAGUAAUUACUAGGCAGGGCUCUUGAGAGCAACAUUAUACUAGGCUUUAUAUGCAUACAUGGUGUGGUACAUAGAGCACGUUGAAUUCCACACUAUAACACAAACCCAGAAAGACAAGUAAUAUCUCAACUGAUAUAAAGACAAAAAGAAAAUAAAAUGAUAUAGAAAAAAGAAUUUCUAAGAGACAGCAACAUACAAUAGACUGAAGCCAGUUGAUCUGCUCAUUGAUUGCAGCCUUAAACUUGCAAAUGUUUACUGUAGCCUGGUGCUCUAAGAAGUGAAAAUGAUGCAAACCUUGAUUCCCUGUUUACUUCCAUUUACCAUCAAACAUUCUAUUCAUAAGAAAAAAAAUCUUUAGAUAUCUUGCCGUAAAUAUAGCCAUUUGAUUGUCUUAAUAAAGCCACACACAACCAUUCAUAUUGAUCCACAUUGCCACAUAGCCUGAUUUAAGCAUACAACAGCUGAAUGUAUACUGACUCCUAACCUUAUCAAUACAUUGGCGACAACUUAAGAAAAAAACUAUUUCUCCAUCUCUUUUUUGAAAUUUCACAAUAAAACAGCACAAUGUAAGAGCUGGAAUGAAAAUGGACCGUUUGGAACUAUGGCGGAAGCUUCAACUAGUGUAGUGAGUUGACCUUCUUAUUAACCUAGCGAGAUCAAACACUGCCCUUGAUCUUGAACAUAUCAAUACGAUACGCACAACUUAUGAUUGAAUCCAGAAACAAUCAAAUCUUUAGCAAGAAUAAUUAAUCAGAAUCAAGAAACAAGUUUAAUGAAUAUAAACCUAUAAUUGGAACAAACACAGCCAAAGAACCCAAGAAUGACACAACGAACACCAAGGGAGAAGCUUUCCAGUGAGAUUAUAUUAAUGAUCAAAGAAGAAUCUUUUUACAAAGAUAACAAAAGAGAUUUCAGAGAAUAAGCUAUGACCCUCUCUCUCUUCAAUCUCUGUCUAGUUUGUUAACAGUGAUGACCCCAAUCUGCUUCGUUAGCCAGCUUCAUAACUGCGUCAGUGACAAACUAGCAAACCCAGAUUGAGCAGACUAACGACACGUGCAUAACGGCUUUAACGAACUUGGUUAAAGAACUGCUCACAUGUUCGUCACGCGUGUUGCUUAAAUGAUAGCCAAAACGACUUCAACCAAAUGCCGUUUUGAAGCUUAUGAAUUAUAAGUGAAAACACGUGCUUGUCUCGUGACAUUUAAAUGCAACAACAAGCCCAAAACACUGCCGGUUCACUAUGUUGAGUUUGCCAUCUCUAAGCUUCACAACUAGCAGCGGACAAGAUGAUAAUUUAAUUGACAUGGAGAGCUUUUAUAUCACUUUUACAACAUUCUAUAUAAUUGUGAUAUUGGGAAUCGUCGGUGUUGUAUAUGUGAACCCUCGUUGGCGACACUGGUGGUUUUAUCUUUAUUGAAAUAUGGAUGACUUUUCGUUACUAUUUUGUUGUACAUAACAUUAUUCUCAGGAGAUUUAAUCAUUGAAAUUAACAUGUUAGUUUCAUUAGAAGGCUGAGUGGUUAGGGCUGCUACCCUCCAACUUGGAGGGCAAUAGUUUGAACCCACAAGCGCAGUGUGGGGGUAUUUCAUUCUUUAAUUACAUUGUAUAAUUGAAUAAAGAUAAUAUUCUCUCUUACCCAAGUGUGAGUGGAGUAGACAUCCUUCGAAUAUUAGCGAGGGUUAAAACUUGGGCAGAGCUCAAUAAGUAUUGAUGUAAGUUGGUCCUAAUAAUAGUCUGAUUUGUAAAUAUCAGUUAUAGUCUCAUGUUUCCUUCCUUAAUUAUAUUGUAUAAUUAAGUAAAUGUACUCUUUUCUCUUACCCAAGUGUGAGUGGAGUAAACAUCCCUCGAAUAUUAGUGAGGGUUAAAAUCUGGGUAGAGCUCCAUAAGUAUUGAUGUAAUUUGAUCCUAAUAAUAGUAUGAUUUGUAAAUAUCAGUUAUAUUAUCAUGUAAUAUGAGUUGUAAUUUGAGUAAUAAUUUCAUGUAAUUACAAAAAAAAUGUUACUUUCAUUACUUUUUUCUUCGUUAAAAUUCUCAAGUAUCAAUUAUGUUUGCUUAAGAAAUAAAAUUUCGUUAUGAAAAUUGUAGCAGUAUUUCCGAGCACCUCACAUUUUCAAUGAUUUUUCAUAAAUCAAUUAAUCUGCCAUACCAAUAUCAGGUUUAGUUUUUCAGACUAAAUGAUCAAGAAAGCAAACAUACAAAUUCACAUUUUAGAGGGGUAAACUAGCUUUUAGAUUUUAGAACUAGGCUAGCUACCUCACCAAAUUCCAAUCUGUACAGUGAACUACAAGAUUAAGAAAAUAAUGUAUUUAUAGUUUAAUUGAAUCAUGAGAAAACAAUGUAGUCAUAGCUCAAUCGGACAUGAUCACGGAGAGGCAUAUUCUUUUCAAGUUAAUUUGAUCCAUUUAUAAGAAAUGAAGUGGAUUGAAGUUAAAAGUUCAAAUAACAAAUCCUUGUUCUUGAGUUUUACGACGUCGUUACUCCUUCAAGAGGCUGAUUAUGCAAGUGAAUGCGGAAACAGAAUGCAUUAUCCACGGGGAUGAUAAAUCAAAAGGCGGGAUCAUAGUCUAUGCCCGCAGAUUAACAAUUUCACUCAUAUAGAAAAUUAAUUUUUUUAUAUAUACUAAUCAACACUAGAUUGAUUAUGUUUUGUAUGUUUAUAUGCUAAUCAACAAUAAAUUAUAUUAAAUGAAGAAAUGCUUCAAAUUUUUCUAAUUUAAUUUAGAAAAUCAAUUAUUAACAUUAAUAUUCCUAAUAAAAAUUAUUUUCCAUCGGUAUUCAAAAUUUUCACUUAUAGAAAAUGUGUUUUACGUGAAUACAAGUUAUUGUGUAAAUUUGAAUGAUAGCGAAAAAUAAUUUUUUUAAUUAUUGUAAAAAUAAUUAACCAUAACAAAUCCCUUGUGUAAAUAAUAAUCAUUAUUUAAAAGGUAGAAAGAUGGUUAGUGCACAAUCAAAUUUUAAGCCCCUACCUCCUCGGCCCAAGAUUCAAACUUAGAUGAUCAGCCAAAUAAAAUUAUUUGAAAAUCAUUCAAUCAGGUUCUCGGGGAAAAAAUACAAGAUCCGUAUUUGCAUGAUAUAUAUGAAUUAAUGUAAUUUAUUUGAAUUAUCCAAAUUCAUUAGAGAUAAAACUAUAAAAGAUACCAAAAAAGUUAGAAGGAAGGGUGUGCUGGGAUAUUUUACAAACUAUAGGAAUCUGGUGAGAUUUUGAGCCAAACUGUAGGGAGUUGAAGGCAUUUGCCCAAUAUGUUUAGACGUACACUAACCGUUAUUUGAUCUUGUUGUUGGUCAUGUGAACUAAGAUGUAAAUUAAAGAAAAAGUAUAAAAUUAAAAAAAGAUAAGAUUUCUAAAAUGUGUGGAAGGUGAUUCAUGAUUCACUAAAAUUACUUGCCCCACAUAUAAAGGUAAACAUGUCUAAUUUCAUUAAAAAUAGGUGGAAAAAAUUAACUAAUAGAAAGCUACGGAAAUUAACCCCCACAAAAAUGACUUUUUAUAGAAGAAUUUAUGUUUUUUAAAAUAUGUUAUCAAAGUGUAUUUGAUCAAAUCUCAAUUGCUUAGUAUGGUUAGGAUUUUGUGAACAUAACUAAAAAGUGAAAAAUAUGAAUGAUAGGGGUGAUGCUUGCAAUAUGAAUAAAUAAUGGACUGAUUCAAUUGAUGAUUAAAUUUAUAUAUUAUUGAUUAUUUAUGAAUUUUCAGACUUGUUAUGAUGUAUAACUAUGUGAUUUUGAAACUUGAAACCGUGGCAAACAUUGAAAGGAAUUAUAACUUGAAAUCAUGACUCACGGGGUAUGUCAUGAUUCACGUGCACAAAAAAGGUAGAAUUGUGGAAAUUUACAACCCAACGACAAGUACGGAAAGAAAGGAAGAAAAUUAAAAGACUUCGGGCCUAGCCUGCGUGUAUUAAUUAUUAGAUUACUUUUUUUUAUAAGGGUAAUCAUCAAUUUACUCCAUAACAAUCUUUAAUUCAUUUCUUAAAAAUAUCAAAACUUUAAUUUAUCUUUUAAACAUCGUUACCUCUCUAUUGGUUUUAACAGUUCAAAGGGUAAAAUUAUAUUUGCAUAUUUUCUUGACCGCCAACUAAAUGAUAAAACUCAAAAUUCAAUCUUGUUAUCUUGUUUCAAUCCUCUAUCAAUCAAAUAAGAUUUCUAAAAUAUGUGGAAGAUAUUGCAUGAUUUCCUCAACCUACCUGGCCCGAACAUCAAGGUAAAUAUCUCUAAAAUAGUUGAUUAAAUCUCAGUUGCUAAGUAUAGUUAGGAUUGUGUGAACAUCACUGAAAACUAUGAUUGAUAGAAGUGAUCUUUGCAAUAUGAAUAAAUAAUUAACUGAAUCAAUUGAUUUAUAUAUUAAAGUUUAUGAAUUUUCGGGCUUGUUGCGAUAUAAUAAUAGCAUAUGAUUUUGAAACUUGAAACAGUGGUAAAUAUUGAAAGGAAUUAAUUUGAAAGCAUGAUCCGUGGGGAAUGUGAUGAAUCGUGUUUACAAAAAAGGUAGAAUUGUGGAAAUUUAUAACAGAACGAUAAAUAUGGUAAAAAGGAAGAAAAUUGAAAGACUUGGGGCCUGGCCUGGGUGUAUUUUCUAACUAUCCAAUGGACAAAAUUAUAUUUCUAUACUUUCUCUUACCUAAGUUUCAUAGAAUAGCUCAUUUCAUUUUUAUUUUUUAAAUAAUAGCCCAAAAUAUCAUUAUGUUAACUCAUUAUUAGUUGAAUGGCGUUUGUUAGUAAUUCAUUAAGGGUAAAAAAUGAUUUUCUAUCAAAGAGAAAAUUAGAAAAAUAAAUAAAAAUUGAUAUAUAACUAAAAAUUAUUUUAUCUAAUCCCACUAAAUAAGAAAUGCCAAAAAAGAUGAAAAAAUUAUAUUUCAAGCAAUUCUUUUUUCACUUAUUUCUAUUUUGGCAACAUGAAAGCCCUAUAAACCCUAGAUCUAAGUACCAAAAAUAUCACAAUUUUCUUAUUCAUAUAAGUAUACUCUCUAAUUGCAUUGUAAAAUGGCUUGAAUUGAAUUGAAGAUAAAGAAGAUAUUCAGCACAUGCAAGCACAUAAAAAUUGGUGGCAUUUUUGAGUUUUUCUUCCAAUGAUUUAAAGAUAUUGUUUUAAUUACAGUUUGUUCCUUAUGACAAUUAUUCAAUGGCGAUAUCAAACUAUAUCAUCGUUGAUUUCAUUUAAGAAAAAAGUUAAUGAAUUUUGCAUACUUUGUAGUGUUAUUUAAUUGUGUAAAAAAAUUAUUUUAAUAUAGUUUGUAUCGCUUUAAUGAAAAAUCCUAUUUUGCCCUCAAUGAAUUACUGGUUAACGAUUUUACACUAAUGGUGAGUUAAUGGAAAGAUAUUUUAGGCUAUUGUUUGAAAAGUAGGGAUAAAAUGAGCUAUUGCAUUAAACUCUAAGGAUGAAAAAUGAUUUUUCCCUUUUAUUAUCAAUCAACUAUCUGAUAAAAGUCAAAACUCAUAUUUUUUUUUCCCUUGUUUCAAUCCCCUCUCAAUCAAAAAAGUUUCCUUGUCUAAGCAAUGAGGAAUAUGGCUAGAAAGAUUGUUAUUAGAAAGAUUUAUCAAUAGUAAUUAGUUCACAACUGAACAGUUUUAGAUUAUUGUGAGUCAAUAUAGGUCCUGUUUAGGAUUGAAGUGUUGCAGUUUUUAAGCUACAGCUGCUGUAGAAAAAAAAACUAUAAUUAUGAAAUAAGAGUUAAUAAUAUAUAAUAAAUAUAAAUUUUAAAUAAUAAUUUUGACAAAAUUAUUAAAAAUAUAAUAGAUUUUUCAUAAUACAAAUAAAAAAAUCAUAUCAACAUAGCUUGCAAGGUACAACAGUUAGUAUGAUGUUAGUUUAUUUUUGCGUCAAUAUAAGUAGUCAAAUUGAAUAAGUUAGUGAAAUGCUGCCUCACUGUCCCAUUGAAUAUGAUUCAGCUAACAGGGCUAGAGCUUGUGGAUGCCAAUGGCACUGAACAAAGUAUUGGGUGGUAAUUUUAAGACCACGCUAUGCCCAAAACCCAAGUUAGGCGAUUACAAAUACGGGAAUCAAUGUCACUUUGCUAGGAAUGGAGAGGAUAGAUUGCUUAGUGAAAUGCAACUUUGUAGAAUGCUGAGAGAUGUGCUGAGAGAUGAGGAUAGUUGUCGAUUUCUUCAUGUAAAUGCUGAGAGAUGUGCGGAAGUUUCUACUCAGUUUAGGCUUAGUUUAAGAAUAGCCUGGUGAUAAACAUUUUGAGUGGUGGAUCUUCUGUGGAUAACAAAAGUAGGUCUAUUCAAUGGGAACGCGACAAGGGGCUGGCUAACUCGCUCAGGUUGUGCAAAUGUUAAAAGCAGAAUGCCAGUUGUAUGAAGUUAUGUCAUUUUCUUUAUAGAACUAUGAAAGCUUGGAGUCCACGAUUCAAUGGAAUCUCGGGCUGUGCCAAUGAUUGUUUCAAGUACUUUUUCUACUUUCAAUGUCCAGACUAAGACUAUUUCUAAGCAGCAAGUGCAGGAUAUAAAGUGCAAAUCAAAAUAGACAGAAGUGAAGAGGAAGAUACGUGGUAUAUAUGUUGAUUGGAUUGAAGAUAUACCACUUUUGCCUAGUUCUUAGAACAAAGCAGAAAGCUGUAGUUAAAAAUAUACCUUCUGCUAAAGAUAAGUAGUCAAUAGUUCUAUUAGUGCAUAACUUUGCGAUUAAGGAUGAUCGCUGUCUAUUUUAAGAGCUUUUAAUAGAAUUUAGUAGCCCUGAUUUUCAAUCUCAGUGUUUUGCGGCUGUUAUCGACAUCCCUCUGUUACAUUUUUCAAGUUUCAUUGAUAAAUUAGUAGUUAGCCUUAUGAAGAAUGCACACACCAUAACCAUGUACGUUAAAUAGCAAACCUGCAUUUUAUUGAACUGUGAACUACUGAUUCAAUAAAGCUCAACAUAAGCUAACAAGUCUUUGUGAAAUUGCUUCAUGGUACAUUGUUUGAAGUAUUUAAGCUAAUAUAUGAUUAUUAAUGGGCUCGUGAGCCAACCCCAUUAAUUAUAUGUACAUAUAUAUAAUGUUACCAUCAAUAUGAUAUGUGACAUCCCAUAACAGCUAAUUAUAGAUCUUUAUCCAUUUUCAUAAUUUGCCUUCUGGCUUCCACUGCUCGUCACUAAAUUCAAAAUCCAUUGCACCUCAAAACAACAUGAGAAAUCUUAUAGGCAAAUCAUGACCAGUUCAAAGAUAAUAGCGAUUAUAGGGAAAGAAAAUUAAAAUCGAAGACGCAUAUAAAAUAAUCAAGCUACUGAUGAACAAAAUAACAUGAAAGUGUAAGUAUUUAUACUAACCUUCACUUAUUAGGAAGUUUGUUUCGCUAUUGGGUAAGAUCAAGCUCUCUGCAUAUCCUAUUGGCAAAAGGAAAUCACGCACGUGUGAUCUCUCUCUCUCUCUCUACACACGCACACAUAUACACACGCAUAUACAUAUACAUGCAUGGUCAUCAUCUUAGAAACCGAUUGAGAAAUUAUUGUCAGAGUUUGAAUUUGCGCAAUGACUAGUCAUGUUGCUAAAAAGAAAAAAGAUUGAGAUUGAAAGAAAUUCAUUAUCAUCAAAUUGGUCCAAUAUCCACUUCACUGUGUGGAUCAAAUACGUUUUCGAAUAGUGCACUGAUCUACAAUCUACUGCAAUAAUUUGUUAGGACCCUACAUCAACAAAUUAUGGGAUUAGUUGGUUUAUUAACCCUAAUACAUCCGGACAAGUCAAUCCUUUCAUGAGAAACAAAAUGAAUUUUGCAUCCCAUGAAACACAACAUACUCAGCUAGUUGAAAUUGUGGAUAUACGGGGGUAACGUAAGCAUGCUUUCACAAUUUGAAAGAUUUAUUUUUUAAGAUUUAGUAUUUCUGGGAUCCUAUUGAGAUAGAGGGGUGGUGAAGGUCUAUAGAUUUUAACUUGACAGCUUCCUAUAACCAAAGAUACAUAACUAUACUAAAUGAGCAUCAUUGAAUUUCAAAGUUAUUCAUUAUAAAUACUUAAAGAAAGAAAAAUAGAUAUUUUGGUAAUAGUAAUACAUUAUACCUUUUCUCUUUUCCAAAUUUGCUUAACCUUACUACAAGGCAAGCUGAGUCCAAUCAGGUUCUCCAAUUCAAAAUCUGAUGUCAGUAUUUUCAAAAGAUAUUUAUGCCAAUGGAGAUUUCUCAAUUCUAUAGGAAGGCAUUUUUUUUUUUUGAAACUGAUUAAGCAUCAGUUGGUUACUGUAUUACACAGAGAUAUAUACAACUGCUAUGACAGCAGGUCAUUACACUGAUAUUUACAAUCAGAUAUAUACAUGUGACUUAUAUUAUUACAUUUUUAUUCUAUGAAGUACAUGCCCAUCCAAAUACCCCUCACAGAGGAGGGAUGUCUCUACUCCACUCCCAUUGCGCAAGGGAGAAAGACGUUGUAAGAAGUCUCCAUACAAUUAUAUUUAAUUGAGGGAGGUUGAGUCCGUGGGGACUCGAACCAUUGCCCUCAUAGUCAUGCUUAACUUUGAGGGCAAUGAUUCACCACUGGGCUACAAGCCCAAGUGGCUAUAGGAAGGCAUUCUAAACCUCAGUGAAGUUACACCCUGGAGCUUAUAAUUAGAACACCAUCAUACUCGGAUAUAUAAAAUUUCAGCAAUCUAAAAUUUGACAUUGUUUUAAAUGCUCCAGAAUCUAAACGUAUGUCUCUUAUCCUGGAGAAUUCAAGAAUAUACUUUCGGUUGCAUGUGUCCCUUCAGAAAAGAAGCAAAUAAUGAGUUCGCAUAAAUUUUCUCAGGAAAAAAAUCCUAAAAUUUAUAAAGAGCUCCUUAAAUGAAGACAAAACCUGCACUCGCUCAACUCUUUUUUUUUUUUUUUAUGUUGUUCUAGUCUUCUUCAAUCCCCCCCUCUAAAACUUUAAUCCAAGCGUUAAGUGUAAGUAAACUAAAAUAUGAUUUUCGUAUGCAAGUACAACACAACAUACCCAUAAAAAUGAAGAGCGGAAGUUAGAAUCAAACCUCCAGCAAUUGAUAUUUUGCAAACUGAUAUUUGAUUCUUCUGAGACUUAUGUAAUCGUUUUGAUGGUGCAGUUUUUGAAUUAGAUUACAUAGCCUCAGGUACUAAUACCAUUUUCACCAUUUUGUUUUUAUUUCAUCUUUCCAUCAAAGAUGAAGGGGUGGGAAAUUAUCAAAGCAGCUGUUAGAUGACACCUGCUUCUAGACCUGCAAGUAAAACCAAAGAAUGAGCUCCAUUAGAUACAUUUGAGUUAAUAAAAUCCCUUGUUCCUCCUAAUGAUUAUAGACAUUAAUUAGGAGGGAGAAAUGAAGUAAAUUAAAUUAAAUGAAGGACCUUCAUUCUCCACGCAUGCAGCCGGCUAUUUUGUUACCAAGUUGUUGAAAGGAAGUAAAUAGAGAAGCAUUCAGAUACCACUCUCCCAGAUCGAUAUUCCUAGUAAGACCAAGGUGUAGUUGUACCACUCGGCCUGUGGAGUUGCUGCAGUCAACCCUUUCCCUUUGUUCAUCUACCCAGUUUUGAAGUCUAUAAGGGGAAUUGAAGAAAUGUUUAAGCCACAAAAGAUCAAAUUCCUCAUGCUCCAAACAUCCCUCACUCCACCCCCCCCACCCCCCGGCGCCCUCUUCUAAUAUUAUUAAUACGAGAACUAACAUUGUCACCAUUUUGAAUUUUGAACCACCCAUUCUAGCUAUAUCUCUAACUAUUAAAAAACACACAUUCUCUCUUUCUCUAUAACUAUAAAUAACAAAAGGGCUCUAUGUUAUUUAUAACAAACACAUCUAACAAUUUAUACACUCAGGCCCCAGCUAGCUUUCAGUUGUCUUCUUUGGUAGUCUUCAGCCUUCUCAAAGACUUUCGUCAUGCCUUACUUUCAGCCUUCCUUUCCAUAUUUGUCAUUUUGCUUUAAUUUUCCACAAUUCUACCUUGGAUGGUAAUAUUUAAUUCGCCACGAAUUGAGUGAAACGCUGGUCCGUUACCCAUCCCACUUCAAUAUUAACAAUAUUAAUAAUAAUAAAUAAAUUCUUCAAGCAAUUGAGAUUUGACACCCACCCCACUUCAAUAUUAAUAUUAAUGGGAAAUCAUAAAUUCUUCUACAAAUGAGUCAUUAUUUUAAAAUUGUUAUAAGCUUAUUUAUUUAAAAAAAAAAAAACGAGAAGGGGAACUUGUUAUCUUAAAAUUAAAAGAUUCUGGUGUGGCUACCCGAAUCCGCACGUUUUUUAAGAUUUUUUUUCCAAUCUUGUGUACCGUUCAACACCUAUAUAUGCUUUGCAAUUGAUUAGUUAACAAAAUAAAAUUCUUGAUCAGUUGUGCGGUAAAAAUAAUAUUAUUUUACAAAGCUUUACCUGGUGCAGUCAAUACGGCUAGAAAUUAAAGGAUCCCCAGCAUGAUAAUUAAGGAAUAAUUAUUAUUCUAGAUUUGUGCAGUGGCGAAGCUAAUAGCAUUUUUCGUUUUCGAGUGAGCUGAACUUUUUCCCCCCCCUAAUUCAAUACAUUUUUAUCGUACAAUAUAAUUUUGUAAAUAAGAAAUUAUAGAUGCACCUAAUAAUGCGCGACAAAAUAAGCUUUACCUCUCAAAAUAUUUGUUCUAAACAUUAUUUAAAAUAAUUUAGACACAUAUUUAUUCACAAAAUGAUGAACAGACAAGAAUUUGAUGAUAAUUGAAGAGGCAGCAUAACUAAUUAAUAUAAAAAUUUUUAUAUAGGUUUCAAUAAAGGAAAUUUUGUAACUAAAUAAUUUUUUUUCUGAGAAGCCCGGCCUUGCCCUCUCCAAAAUUCGCCACUGAAUUUGUGGGGUGGUUACUGGAGUUCACACGUUUUCAAAUUUUUUUUUCCCGAUCAUUCAAUAGUAAUUUUGCUUUUUAGUUUAUUAUUAUUGUUGUUAUUAUUAUUAACUCAGGCAUUUAUUAAAGCUCGAACACAUAAUCUAAACUUUGAUAUAUUUUUUGCUGAGAGGAGUCAAAAUUUGGGAAUUAUAUGCGCAUCAUAACAUAAUAAACAACCGCAAAGUAUCCUACGGAAACUUUCAGUGCACUCUGACAGCAGCUUUUGGUAGUCAAAUAGUCUUGGAAUCAUUUUUUAGCGCAUAUUCUUUUCGGUAAUGUGAUGAAUUCAUAUCUAAAGAAUCAAAACUAUGAUGUGAAUUUGCUGCAAAAACUGAUCCAAGACUAUUCAUUCAUUAUUAAACAUAUGAUAUCGUCCGUAAGACUGGAGAAAUAUGAAUGAAUUUGUUGAUGAUAACUCAGAAGACGGUUAACGGUUAAAUAUGCUAUGUUGAAAUGCACUGUACAGUCAAUUAAUUUAGUUAGGACUCUGUUUCUAGAAAACAGAGUAUAAAAGAUGACUAACUGUUUUGGGAGAUGCUUUUGGAGGGACUUCUAGAUGAAAUUGAGAGAGAGAGAGUGUGAGAGAAACUCUGUAAAGUCUUCUCCAAUUGGUAACCCCUUUUGUUGCGAAUAAUAAAGCUUCAAGGCUGUUCAUUUAUUUGUACAUAAGCAGGGGGAAAGCCUAUGUAUAGACAGCUUCAAAUGAGGAAACUGCACCUAACUACGCAGCAGCUGUAAUGAAGAAGACAUUGAUGCAUUAGCUUCCUGUUCCGUCUUCUUGGUCUUCGGGGAGGUUGGUAGCAGCAACUUUAAUUGUUCAAAGCAAACACUUAUCUUUCGUUUCUCAUAAAACCUCGUGAGGUAAUGCUUUAGAUGACUGGUAUGCAAUAUUGUCAAUGACAAAAUGUAAUGUUGUAUUCUGCUGAUCAACAUGUAAAAACUACAUAUUACUUGAAUUAGUUUUUUUUUUUUUUAAUUUACUAAAUUUCAGAAUUUGUUAACGAUGUUUGUACUUGGUUUUAACUCGAUUAAAGCUCAUGAAACUUAAUUGAUUAAUUAAUCAUUUAGUUAAAUUUAUUCGCUUUCAUGCUAUGGAUCUUUGCUAUAAUAACAAAUGCUUAAUUAUAUGCGUAUGUGUGAUAUAAUAGCUGCGUCUUACAUAGCAUAACACUACACCAAAUAUGCCCCCCUCAGAUACUAAUUAAUUACACAAAUGUACUUUUAUUCAAUUUAUUAUUUAAAAUAAUAUUUGAAAAAAAAUGGACUUGAGCAGAGCAAAGUAGAGAUAAUAAACAAGGGUAGAUUAUGCAUGCGUCAAAAGAUUUUAAAAAAGAAAAAGAGAAAAUAUACGGAAAACAAGAAAAUUGCGGGGAGCCACUCUUGUCUUUUACUUUGGACUUGAAGUCGUUCCAGGUGGAUAAUGUUUUCCUUUUAAAUAUUUAGAAUUAUAUUGUGGCGCUAUUUAAAAUAAGUUAUAAUUUUCUUAAAAUCAGACUAUGAUUACGGUACUCCAUGGUCAGAGUGUCGUUGAAUAAUGCUGAGUCUAUUGAGUCCUUUUCAAAUCGAAACCAGAACUAAAGAAAAAUCCAGAACUGAAACAAGGGCACGAACCAGCAAGAUUUGAAGGAAAAAUUUACUUCGUUAGUGAUCAACAACUAAUCAAACGUAAGUGGAUUUACAGAAGACUUUGUACAGAUCACAAUGAAACAGAUUCUAUGCAAAUUGACGAACAACUGAAGAAGAAAAAGGAUCGUACAACAGGCACUGCUCAUAAGCUUCUAUUUAUACUGAUGUUUCUGGAAACGUUGUAACAGAUUAUAACUAAUUCGUGCCACGUCAGCAUAAAAUAUCUACUAGACCCAUUUAACUGAAGUCAAUCUGCACAACGACUCUGAACCUCUUCAUAUUUUCCAUUUCAGUCCACAGACUCAACUACACACGUCUCCAAAAAUAAUAAGUUUUAUUUAUUUAUUUUUAUUAAUAAAAUAAAUUUUUAUUAACUUUCGUUGAUUUUGGUAGAUUUUGUUUUUGAGCUGUUACUACACUGUCGGCUGGUGUGUCAUCAUACGUAGUAGCGUCAUCAACCCUCUCAUGACUUUGACGGCCGAAACAUGUUUCAUGGCACAAAUAAUGACAGAUUUGUUUGAGGUACGGCGGAGAUGCCUAUUCAAAUAUUUGAAGCCAGCCCCUCCUUGUUUAACAUUUUUUUUUUUAAAAGGGGAACAACUGCUUUAGCUGUAUAUAUCAAGAAAAUUAGCUAACAGUUUAUGCACUUAAUUAUUUAUUUUGCCACACAUUUGUAAGUGGUCAAUGCUGCCGUAAAAUUAUUAGACCCAAAAUAAAGUGUGAUGAGGGACAGGAAUUAAUGUUCCCAUUAGCUGUAGCACCUAUCUUCCAUCUCUAAUUUUAACUUUCGAUUGAUGAAGUGUUUUCAAAUUUGUCAAAUGUCUGUAAACUGUUUAAUAAUUGAAGAAAGUUAAAAUUCAUUUUCUAAAAAUUAUUUUCAUUCAAAAUUGCGAUUGGAUGGUAAUCAGGGUUAAUAUCAGAGCUUAAGAUACUAUAACCGUGAGAACCUAUUGACUGCCAAUUAAAAUAUCCAUUAAAAUGUCUAGGGAGUUAUGAAGGUGGGGGUAACUUCCAAUUUCUAAGGCCACAGAGUAGACAUCAUCCAGGAUCCUAGGAAAGUCCAGUUAACCUCCUGCUCGAUGCAAUUAAUAAAUUUGGUCAAUGCCACUGAAACCUGCUAACUGACGUCACAAUGCGACAUGAGCACUUCAAAAUGGGACGGACAGUCAGUAGCACUGAAUUUUUCUUGCCUAAGAUUGAGCAAUUGGUCUAACUACUAAUCCCUAUUGUAGGUUGAUCAUUAUUUUUUCAAUUAUGUUCAGUUUGACCCAAAAAGUUGCAGAAUCUUGAGCUGAAUAUUGUCACGGAACACUGUCAAUGUCGCUUAGCAUAGCCAACAAACUUGAUGUUAAAACAAACACACAGUGUGUCUCAUGUCUCACAAAUCAAAUUAUCAUCUGUAAUGAUGGAGAAUUUUUCCAAUGUAUGAAGUAUGCUUUGAUACGUGGGUUACCUUGGAGAAGAUAUCUCAAAAUAAAGAAUAUGGGGAGAAAACAGUUCAGUAGUUUAUUAUUCUGUAGUCAAGUUUUGUCUCGAAAAUGGUCAAAAUUUAAAUGAUUAAGGACAGGGGAUCUUCAUUCUUUUUCCCCUUUUUUAUACCAAGAUAUCUCUCAACCUUUAUAUAAUCCCCACUGGAUAUCUGCUUCUCAUAAUUAAAAUAAAAAUUUCACCGCUCUAACAAUAAAAAGUAACAUCUUUAGUCAAAUAAUUUUGCGGUUCCUCAUCAUCUUAGUGUGAGACUAUCAGUACUUCCAAAAACAUAAUAAAACUGGUUUGAUCCUGUUUAUUAAUGUUUAAAUGUUGUUCAUUGUGACAUGUAGAAAUGAUGAGGCGAAGUUUAUUUGGGCAUCAAUUAGUAAGAUCUUGUUCGAAGUUGUUUUCUGAAAUGAACUGCCAAAUGGUAGUUUUUUGGGGGCAUUUGAUGGCUCUUUUUUUUUCCUCAUUUUCAACAUGUGCCUGCUUGGAACAGGAAGGAUUAGGCUUUAGAGUUGUUAUUUAUUUUGAGAUGCUCUGGUCAUUGCACAAUUUGUUCACACUGGAAAUUAGAAUGAGAAAUUUGUUGAUGCUGUUUUGAGAGAUCUGCAUUCUAUGCACAAUAACAUGAUUAAUGAAAAUGUAUUGUAGGACUGGAAAGAUCUGUGGCAGCCUGAGCUCGCAGGAAGAAUUUCAAUGGUUAAUUCUCCCCGAGAGGUUAUUGGUUCAGUUUUGAAGUAUAGGGGAGCAUCAUACAAUUCAAACGAUAUUGAUUCGCAAGUUGCUGGUGGGAAGAUUGCUGUUCAGCAGAAUCUGGCAUUACUGGCAAACCAGGUACUCUUACAGAAAUGAUAUCUGGUCAUUGCAUGUUAUUGCCUGACAACUGAUUUUGUUUGUAAAAGUCUACUUCUUCAUACAUAUGAAUGCAUAUGUUAGUGUUUUCUUCUCGUUUUCAUACAUAUAAAUGCAUAUGUUAGUGUUGUCUUUUCCUUUUCAUACAUAUUACUACAUAUGUUGGUGUUCUCUCCUGAGAUGGAUGCAAUAAAGGCUUUUGCUCCUAAAUUUAGCUGAAGAAAUGGCAAGGGAUGUGAGAUUCUGUCUCAUUAAAUUAACAAAAACCCAAAGCAAUGAAAAUCCAUAAUAAUGUGGUGUGGGUAAAUUGGCUCCAUUUGGUUCGUUUCCUUAAUGUGAAUGCGCGAGCAAUAGAGACUAACAAAAUGAAGUGACAACAAGAAGUCAGUGUCCUUUGAUGGAUGCAUUUUUAGGCAGAAAUAGGUUUGUAAUUGACCAAAUUUGUCUGGCAUGCCAAUUUCAAAAAAAUUAAAUUAUGUGGUUAUUAGCUGUAAUGAAGGGGGAUAGUAGGUGCAAUCAGGUGGAUCCUGGAAAGUUCAAUAAAGUUUUGGUAUGGCGUAGUGAAAUUGGUUUGUGCAACUCAGGAGUCUUUCAGGUGAACGAUGAUAGGUUUUGAUUUAUGAAUAUUAUAAAUCUACUGUGCAUAGUAUUCUAGUAGAAUCAUCUAUAAGUUCUAGUUAUUGAAAUUGUAUACUUUGCCCGGUUUGAGUUAAGGGCACAUGUAAUAUGAAAGAUAGUUGUCGCAUCUUUUAGGUUACCUAACAUUUGAUCAAUCCUAUUAUGGGGGCUUCAAGAUGUCUAACAAUAUGUAGAAUGCCCAUGCUCCUCCCCAUUGUUUAUCUUCUACAAUAAUUUGUUUUAGAUGCUAAUAUCUUUGUCGAUACCGGUAACAAUAUUACAAUAUCUGCGUUUAUUGGGUUUUACAUAGGUUCGACUGUUUGACAGUACACACUAUCUGAAGGCAUUUGCAAUUGGAGAUGUAUGGGUUGCUGUUGGGUGGAUUAGUGAUGUUCUUCCUGCUGUCAAACAUAUGUCUAAUGUUGCUGUUGUUGUUCCCAAGUCUGGUGCUAGCUGCCUGCCAUUCUACUUCGAUAUUCACAUUGUUAUCUCCUUCAUAUUAGCGAUCAGUAAACACGAUAAUGUGACUAAUAAGUUCGUAUUCUCUUUAUAGGCAAUCCCUGCUGCCUCAAGACUUGAAACAAAACAAAUUGGAGGGCGAGUCGGAGGUCCAUCUCCGUUAAUCCAUCAAUGGAUAGAAUUCUGCUUGCAAACAGCGAGAGCAUUACCUUUCAAGCAAGAGGUAAUCCCAGGUGCAUCUCCCUCUGCCCUUGAAAGUACUCUGGUUAAGUUGCCUGAAGAACUUCUGGAGGGUAAACCAAGUCUGGAUACUAACUUAAUUGCUGGAGUACUCCCGGCUGAAAUUCUGGCCAGAUGUGAGUUUUUGGAGCCAUUAUCUGAAGCUACUUUGUCAGAUUAUGAGUGGCUGGUUGUUAAUCUGCAAAAACCUGCUCCUGUCUUGAUGAAAAGGGUGCAACAUUACUUGUCAUCAUUAAUCCAAAGCUUUCUAGCAAGAGCUACAUUGAAAAGUUAAUGGCGCUGCAUGCCAGUCAUUAUAAUGCUGUCAGGACAAUUGGGUCAGGGCAAUUAGGUCAGAGCAUAACUUCAUUAGGAAAGGGGGCUUCAGCUACGUUAAAUAUUACAGGAUGUACUGAGAUGGCUGAAGUUCUUGAGGUUUUAUGAGAAACGAAAGAUGAGUGUUUGUUUGAACAAAGUUGUUGCCAAUCUUGCAGAGUUUGAAAACAAAGAUCACGGAGCGAAUGCCACCGAUUUCUUCAUCAUUUUAGCCUCCAUAAUUGAAGUUUCCUCAUUUGAAGCUGUUUAUGCAUACGAUUUUUCCCUGCUCUAGUACAGGAAAUUGAAGAAUUAACCAGAUGUGAUAUGCUGAAAGAGGGAAGUUUUCUUCCUUGAAUGUGGCCUUUGUGAUUUGUCUUGAAGGAAUAGGAUGAUCACUGGCAAGAACCCUAUCAAGGUAGAUUUUAUGGUGUUAACAUAUUAUUCAGCAUUUUGUUACAUUAGCAAUGAUGCUUUCAUAGCAUGAAAGUGUUUAAAUUUAACUGAAUGAUCUUGAUUGAUCAAUUAUGAGUUUUAAUCGAGUAAAAACUAAAUACAAUAAUCGUAACAAANNNNNNNNNNNNNNNNNNNNNNNNNNNNNNNNNNNNNNNNNNNNNNNNNNNNNNNNNNNNNNNNNNNNNNNNNNNNNNNNNNNNNNNNNNNNNNNNNNNNUGCUACCUUUUGAUUUUAGUGCUUAAUAUUUAUUGAACUAUGAUGCAGGGAAUUUGAAAUCAAACUCGUAAUACAGAUUAUCUAAUUGCGAGUUGCUGUCCAUAGCUGCUAAUUUGUAGUGAUUAUCUAAUUGACUGAGGUGACAAUAAUUCUUUUAUUUUCAAUAGCACAAUGUGGAAUUCAAUAAUUAAAUUCUCCUGUUUAAUUUGUUUCAAGUUAAAUUAUUAAUUACUUAAACUCGGUUUUAAGUCUUUAAUUUUAUGUGUUUAUGCAGAAUUGGAUUCUUGAGCGUGUUGGACACGACCAACAAUGAAAUUGACAGUAAACAAACAUUAGAACAUGUGGACUCCGGUAAGCACCAAUGAAUUUCUAGCCCCGUUGACUCCGCCAACUAAAGUUUUGUAAAAUAAAAAAAAAUACAUAGAAUUCCACCAAAUGCAAAACGCGUAAAAUUUAAUUUUCGGCCGUGUGGACCAAAACAUAAUUUAACAAAAAAGAAAAAAAUGAUAAGAUUUUUAAAAUGUGUGGAAGGUGAUCCAUAUUUUACUGAAACGACUUGUUAAAUUUUUCAAGGAUUUAGAAUAUUUGGUCAUAAAUUACGUGCAUGUUAAUUUUUCCGCCAUUGACUAUCAUAUUCUAGACUUAAUGGUACCUUUUUUGAUGAAGGGUACUUAGUCUCUCUUCUCCUCUUAUAAAAAUUAUAUUAAUUGAUUUCUUGUUAUAGUUAAUAGUCUUCAAGAACGGAUAGAUUUAUUGUUUUCAUGACCAAAUUAUGCAUGCCUAACGUUGCAACUAUUAAUAAAAUUAAUAUUUAAUAUUUAUGUUAAAAGAUAUAAGAUUUUAUGCAUUCAUUAAUUGUUAUUAGCUAAAGGAUGAAUUAUUUUUUCCCAAUCAGUUGAUGCAUCUGCAAGAGUUUUUUUUUCUUUUAUUGACCAUAAUUAUAUUCCGGGUACAAUAAAUUGUCUUUGGUGCUUGGAAGAUAUGACAUCUCUCUGUCAACUUACUGGAAAUAUCUCCUCAUCUACUCUCAUUUAUCUAAUAUCAAUUGAAGAUCUCAUAUUUCCAAACUAUGACUUCCAAAUCUCAUUAUCAUUUGAGCAUUCAAAACUAAUCAAGUGUGGAAAUAAUCAAAUAUAUGCAAAAAUCGAGUCACAAUCUUUGGCCCCUCAAAAUUCUAAUUAUAUAACUUCUAUAUAUCUCAUACAUUUUCCAAAUUCCUCUUCCAUCAACAUCAUUAGGAGUAUGUUCAUCUCUCACACAUUAACUUGAGUGGAGAGUUUCCAAAUUGAUUGUCAGAAAACAACAAAAGAACUAGACACGCUUGAUCUGUCUAAUAAUUCUCUUUCGGUAAAAUUAAUUAAUUUUAGGGGAAUUCAGCCAACCUCUGUAAUUUUAUAGUGAUCAUUAAUUAAUUAAACAAUACAAAUAUCUAAAGUGAUUAGAUGUUUACUGACAAUACAAGUUCAUGGCUUGAAAUUUGAUCUCUAUCGAUUGGUUUUGUAGUGCUUAAUAUUUACAGAACUCCGGGAAUUUGAAAUCAAACUCGUAACUACAGAUUAUCUAAUUGUAAGUUUUUGUCCAUAGCUGCUGAUUUGUAGUGAUUAUCUAAUUGACUGAGGUGACAACAAUUGUUCUUUUAAUUUUCAAUAGCAUAAUGUGGAAUUCAAUAAUUAAAUUCUCCUUUUUAAUUUGUUUCCAAUUAAAUUAUUAAUUACUUAAACUCUAUUUUAAGUCUUUAAUUUUAUGUGUUUAUGCAGAAUUGGAUUCUUGAGCGUGUUGGACACGACCAACAAUGAAAUUGACAGUAAACAAACAUUACAACGCGUUGAGUGUCGACUCCGGUAGCUGCCCUACAAGUCUACAACUUUACAAAAAAUAAUUGAGUACACACAUUCGAUUCUCGGGACCCUUCAAUGAAUUUCUAACCCCGUUGACUCCACCGACAAAAGUUUUGGAAAAUAAAAAAAAAAUUUAUAGAAUUCCACCAAAUGCAAAACGCGUGGAAUUUAAUUUUCGGCCGUGUGGACCAAAACAUAAUUUAAUGAAAAAAAAGAAGAUAAAAUUUCUAAAAUGUGUGGAAAUUGAUCCAUAUUUUACUGAAACAACUUGUUAAAUUUUUCAAGGAUUUAGAAUAUUUGGUCAUAAAUUAUGCUCAUGUUAAUUUUUCCGCUAUUGACUAUCAUAUUCUAGACACAAUGGUACCUUUCUUGAUGAAGGGUACUUAGUCUCUCUUCUCCUCUUAUAAAAAUUAUAUUAAUUGAUUUCUUAUUAUAAUAAAUAGUCUUUAAGAACGUAUAGAUUUAUUGUUUUCGUGACCAAAUUAUGCCUGCCUAAGGUUGUGACUAUUAAUAAAAUUAAUAUUUAAUGUUUAUGUUAAAAGAUAUAAGAUUUUAUGCAUUCAUUAAUUGUUAUUAGCUAAAGGAUUAAUUAUUUUUUCAACCCAAUCUGUUGAUGCAUCUGCAAGAGUUUUUUCUUUUAUUGACCAUAAUUAUAUUCCGGGUACAAUAAAUUGUCUUUGGUGCUUGGAAAAUAUGACUUCUUACUUCAAGUUUGAUAUGUCUCUCUCCAUAAGCUUACUGGAAAUAUAUCCUCAUUUACUGUCAUUUAUCUAAUAUCAAUUGAAGAGCUCACUUUUUCAAACUAUCACUUCCAAGUCUCAUUGUCACUUGCCAUUCUUGGACCAUUCAAAACCAAACAAGUGUUGNNNNNNNNNNNNNNNNNNNNNNNNNNNNNNNNNNNNNNNNNNNNNNNNNNNNNNNNNNNNNNNNNNNNNNNNNNNNNNNNNNNNNNNNNNNNNNNNNNNNNNNNNNNNNNNNNNNNNNNNNNNNNNNNNNNNNNNNNNNNNNNNNNNNNNNNNNNNNNNNNNNNNNNNNNNNNNNNNNNNNNNNNNNNNNNNNNNNNNNNNNNNNNNNNNNNNNNNNNNNNNNNNNNNNNNNNNNNNNNNNNNNNNNNNNNNNNNNNNNNNNNNNNNNNNNNNNNNNNNNNNNNNNNNNNNNNNNNNNNNNNNNNNNNNNNNNNNNNNNNNNNNNNNNNNNNNNNNNNNNNNNNNNNNNNNNNNNNNNNNNNNNNNNNNNNNNNNNNNNNNNNNNNNNNNNNNNNNNNNNNNNNNNNNNNNNNNNNNNNNNNNNNNNNNNNNNNNNNNNNNNNNNNNNNNNNNNNNNNNNNNNNNNNNNNNNNNNNNNNNNNNNNNNNNNNNNNNNNNNNNNNNNNNNNNNNNNNNNNNNNNNNNNNNNNNNNNNNNNNNNNNNNNNNNNNNNNNNNNNNNNNNNNNNNNNNNNNNNNNNNNNNNNNNNNNNNNNNNNNNNNNNNNNNNNNNNNNNNNNNNNNNNNNNNNNNNNNNNNNNNNNNNNNNNNNNNNNNNNNNNNNNNNNNNNNNNNNNNNNNNNNNNNNNNNNNNNNNNNNNNNNNNNNNNNNNNNNNNNNNNNNNNNNNNNNNNNNNNNNNNNNNNNNNNNNNNNNNNNNNNNNNNNNNNNNNNNNNNNNNNNNNNNNNNNNNNNGUAUUUUACUUGGAAGAUAUGACAUCUCUCUGUCAACUUACUGGAAAUAUCUCCUCAUCUACUCUCUUUUAUCUAAUAUCAAUUGAAGAUCUCAUAUUUCCAAACUAUGACUUCCAAAUCUCUCAUUAUCAUUGAGCAUUCAAAACUAAUCAAGUGUGGAAAUAAUCAAAUAUAUGCAAAAAUCGAGUCACAAUCUUUGGCCCCUCAAAAUUCUAAUUAUAUAACUUCUAUAUAUCUCAUACAUUUUCCAAAUUCCUCUUCCAUCAACAUCAUUAGGAGUAUGUUCAUCUCUCACACAUUAACUUGAGUGGAGAGUUUCCAAAUUGAUUGUCAGAAAACAACAAAAGAACUAGACACGCUUGAUCUGUCUAAUAAUUCUCUUUCGGUAAAAUUAAUUAAUUUUAGGGGAAUUCAGCCAACCUCUGUAAUUUUAUAGUGAUCAUUAAUUAAUUAAACAAUACAAAUAUCUAAAGUGAUUAGAUGUUUACUGACAAUACAAGUUCAUGGCUUGAAAUUUGAUCUCUAUCGAUUGGUUUUGUAGUGCUUAAUAUUUACAGAACUCCGGGAAUUUGAAAUCAAACUCGUAACUACAGAUUAUCUAAUUGUAAGUUUUUGUCCAUAGCUGCUGAUUUGUAGUGAUUAUCUAAUUGACUGAGGUGACAACAAUUGUUCUUUUAAUUUUCAAUAGCAUAAUGUGGAAUUCAAUAAUUAAAUUCUCCUUUUUAAUUUGUUUCCAAUUAAAUUAUUAAUUACUUAAACUCUAUUUUAAGUCUUUAAUUUUAUGUGUUUAUGCAGAAUUGGAUUCUUGAGCGUGUUGGACACGACCAACAAUGAAAUUGACAGUAAACAAACAUUACAACGCGUUGAGUGUCGACUCCGGUAGCUGCCCUACAAGUCUACAACUUUACAAAAAAUAAUUGAGUACACACAUUCGAUUCUCGGGACCCUUCAAUGAAUUUCUAGCCCCGUUGACUCCACUGACAAAAGUUUUGGAAAAUAAAAAAAAAAUUCAUAGAAUUCCACCAAAUGCAAAACGCAUGGAAUUUAAUUUUCGGCCGUGUGGACCAAAACAUAAUUUAAUGAAAAAAAAAAGAUAAAUUUUCUAAAAUGUGUGGAAGGUGAUCCAUAUUUUAUUGAAACAACUUGUUAAAUUUUUUAAGGAUUUAGAAUAUUUGGUCAUAAAUUACGCUCAUGUUAAUUUUUCCGCUAUUGACUAUCAUAUUCUAGACUCACUGGUACCUUUCUUGAUGAAGGGUACUUAGUCUCUCUUCUACUCUUAUAAAAAUUAUAUUAAUUGAUUUCUUAUUAUAAUAAAUUGUCUUUAAGAACGUAUAGAUUUAUUGUUUUCGUGACCAAAUUAUGCUAGAUUAAGGUUGCGACUAUUAAUAAAAUUAAUAUUUAAUGUUUAUGUUAAAAGAUAUAAGAUUUUAUGCAUUCAUUAAUUGUUAUUAGCUAAAGGAUUAAUUAUUUUUUCAACCCAAUCAGUUGAUGCAUCUGCAAGAAUGUUUUCUUUUAUUGACCAUAAUUAUAUUCCGGGUACAAUAAAUUAUCUUUGGUGCUUGGAAAAUAUGACUUCUUACUUCAAGUUUGAUAUGUCUCUCUCCAUAAACUUACUGGAAAUAUAUCCUCAUCUAUUAUCAUUUAUCUAAUAUCAAUUGGAAGAUCGCACUUUUUCAAACUAUCACUUCCAAGUCUCAUUGUCACUUGGCCAUUCUUGGACCAUUCAGAACCAAUCAAGUGUUGAAAUAAGUCGAGAGGGGGGGCAAAAUUAGAGUCACAAUUUUUGGUCCCCCAAAUUCUAAUUAUAUAACUUCUAUAUAUUUCAUUGCCAGGUCACGAACUUGUUGGCACAUUUUCCAAAUUCCUCUUCCAUCAACUCUCACACGUUAACUUAAGUGGAAAGUUUCCAAGUUGAUUGCUAGAAAGCAACGCAAAAUCAGACACGCUUGACCUGUCCCCUAAUUCUCUUUUCUACGUUGAAAAAGAAAAAAAAAAUAUAUAUAUAUAUCUAUGUAAAAAUAAAUAAUAAACUGAAUAAAAGUACAUUUGUUUAAUUAACAUCUGAUCGUGGCAUUUUUGGUGUAAUUUCGUGCUGUGUAAGCCACAACUAAAAUCAAACAGCCCCUUAGCAUACUUCUUCCAUUUUAUCUGGUACUUUUGUGGAUCUUAUAGGGUGGGCAUGUGGACAGAAUUUAAAAGUUUUAAUAGUCUCAAAGAAUAAGAUAUGUUAAAGCUAAAGUUGUUGCACCUUCUAAUUAAAUAAAGUUGUACAAUUUCACCAACUUGGAAGAAUUGACAUUAAUGGACUGGUCCCUUCUCCAUAUAUGAAGCCUUCUUAAAAGUUAAUUUUUAUUUCAGAAAAAAAAAGUUAAAGUUACAUAUAUUAUAGUAAGAUUUUUUGAGACCAAUUCCCUUCUUGAAAUAAUAAUGGAAAAGUAUUAAUUUAAUAAUAAAAUGAAUAUGUAUUGAUUAUAUCUUGAUUUUCAUCGAUUAUAGUGAGAGUUUCUCCAAAUCAAUUCCCUUAUUCAAAUAAUAUCGAAAAAAUAGUAAUUUAAUAGUAAAAUAAACAGGUGUUGAUUAUAUAUUCUAAGUUUCAUCGAUUAUGUGAUCAAAGUGGCAUUGUUGAUUUAUUUCUUGUUCAAUGUUAAUUUUUAGGUUAUCUAAAUUUCAAGGAUUUAAAAUCUUUGAUCAUGGAUUACACGCUUGUUAAUUUUUCUGCCAUUGACUAUCAUAUUCUAGACUUAAUGAUACCUUUCUUGAUCAAGGGUAAUUACUCUCUCUUCUCCUCUUAUAAAUUCCUCUUCCAUUAACAUCACUAGGAGUAUGUUGAUCUCUUACAAAACAACAAAAGAACUAGACACACUUGAUCUGUCUAAUAAUUCUCUUUCGGUAAAAUUAAUUAAUUUUAGGGGAAUAUUCGACCAACCUCUGUAAUUUUAGAGUGAUCAUUAAUUAAUUAAACGAUACAAAUAUCUAAAGUGAUUAGAUGUUUGCUGACAAUGCAAGUUCAUGACUUGAAAUUUGAUCUCUAUCGAUUGGUUUACAAAUGGACAUACUUGUGCCUUUGUGGCGAUAAUCGAACAAGUUCCAAUGAUUAUUAUUUUUUCCAAAAACUUUUUUACAACAAAUUCAUCUCGCCAAAAAUUCUAUGUUGCUAGCUAACAAUAAUUGAGCACUUGGCCGCAUUGACUCCACGUCUCCACCUCUUUCUAAAUUCUAAGUAAAAACAUGGAAAUGUAAUUUCCACAAAAUGCCAAACGUGUGGAAUUUAAUUUUUUGCCUUGUGGAUCAAAAUACAAAUGAAAGAAACAGGAAAAAAAAAAAAGGCCCAAAGACUUCUAAAAGAUGAAGAAGUCUUUGGGCCUUUUUAUAAUGGUGGAUUUUUUAAAAGAAAAAAAUAACAACACUUUUAUGGUUGGUUUUGAUAAUCAUAUGUGCGUAUAUACUCUCUAAUUUUCAAAAUGGACACAUAAAUCUUUUUUUUUCACAAAAUAUAUAUUAUUCAUAUUUUUUAUUUUUUAUUAUCAUAUUUUUAUUUAUUAUAAAUGUUUAGAGUAAAUUUUUAGGUUGAAAUAUAAUAAAAGGGUAUAAUCGUUCUCUUAUUAAACACACAUACUUUUAUUAGUUUCUAUGCAUUUGUCAUCUCAAUCUCUCUCAAUUAUUCUUUAUUGCUAGCUCAAAACACGUUGCUGUUGCAAAUUAUAGCAAAAUGACAAAUAUGGAAAAAAAGGGAAGAAAAUUAAUGCAUGAAAGACUUGGAGAAAACAACAAAAUAAGCCAACUAUGAGCUAGUUGGGUGUAUAAAUUGUUAGAUGUGUUAUAUACAAAUAGCAUAGAGCCCUCUAGUUGGUUCUAGAGACAGAAAGAGCGUGUGUGUUUUUUCACAGUUAGAGAUAUAGUUAGAAUGGGUGGCUCAAAAUCAAAAAUGAUGAUAAUGUUUAUUAUGUUAUUAAUAAUAUUUAAAAGUGGGUGGAGUGAGGGAUGUUUGGAUCACGAGAGAUUUGCUCUUUUGCGACUCAAACAUUUCUUCACUGGUCCUUGUAAUUAUCUUUACGACUGGGUAGAUGGUGAGGGAGCUACUGAUUGUUGUCAGUGGGAAAGGGUUGAGUGCAGCAACACCACAGGCCGAGUGAUAACGCUAGACCUUUUUGACACGUAUGGGGGAGAGCACAACUGGUAUCUGAAUGCUUCUUUGUUUACUCCCUUCCAACAACUUGAGUCACUUGAUUUAACUUACAACAAAAUAACCGGUUGUGUUGAGAAUGAAGGUGCUUCGUUUAAUUUAAUUAAUUUACUUUCUCCCCCCUAAUUUAAGUUGAAUAUCAAGACCGAGCAAUUAUAUGCAUAUUCAUUCAGUUGACAAUUUUGACUUUUUUUUUAAAGAUUAAUUUUGAAAUUACACUAGUAUCUAUGAUCCUUUUUUUUUUUAUUUUACUUGCAGGUAUAGAGAGGCUAUCAAGAUUGAACAACUUGAAGAUGCUUAAUUUAAGUGAUAACUCGUUCAACAAUAGCAUUUUAUCAUCACUAACUCAUCUUUCAUCAUUAAGAUCAUUAAAUUUAUAUGGGAAUAGAUUAGAAGGAAGUAUUGACGUUAAAGGUACAUAAUUAAAACUUCAUCCCUUCUCCAAGCUCUUUCAUUAACUUGCUAAAAUAAGAUUCAAGGCUUUGAAUUCAAUUUUUUUUAUGAUUAGUAUUAAAAAAAAACAGUUUUAAGCAAUUUAUAAAUACAAGUUUUAAUCUUUCUCAUAAUUUCAUCUUGUACUUUCAUGUGUCUUGAAUUUAAGAUUAAAAAGAAAUCUAAUAGCAAACCAAACACCUCCACAACUUAUUAUUAUUAUUAUUAUUAUUUGCGGUGAGGUUUGAAACAUUCAACUCAAUUUGUACUUAUUACAGAAUUUGAUUCUUUGAGAGAUUUAGAGGAGCUAGACAUUGGCGAGAACAAGAUUGACAAAUUUGUGGUCUCAAAAGGUACUACAAAUACCAUAAAAAAAAAUGCUAACUUAUACAAAUUAGUUGGAUUCUUGGCCAUUUGGUUUAUUAUUUUACAGGUUUGAGUAAGUUGAAGUCUCUCUGUUUAAGUGGUAUCAAACUCAAUCGUAGCAUCUUCGCUUCUCUUUCUUCGUUAAGAGAAUUAGAUAUAAGUUAUACGGGAUUCAAAGGAACAUUUGAUGUUCGAGGUAAGUCUAAGCCUUGCUUUCUCAUUUUAUAUAUGCGAACUAGAUUUGUGUAUCAUCGACAUAAUUUAAUAUUUAAUUUAAUAAGUCUGAAGGUAUUACAUGCUAAUUUAAACAUACUUUUAUUUACUUUGUCAAUUAAUUAAUUAAUUAAUUAAUUACUAUUUGGCUUGGUUUGGACGAAAUUCUCAUGAUGUUUUAAUUUCUUUAAAUUAAUUAAUUAAUUAACUCUGUUUUUAAGUCUUAAGUCUGGGCAUGUUUGCAGAAUUUGAUUCCUUCAAUAACUUAGAAGUGUUGGACAUGGGAUACAAUGAAAUCGACAAUCUUGUGGUUCCUCAAGGUAAACAAUUAAAAUAUUAUUCAAUUACAUUAUUUUAAUUCAUUUGAUUAGAGAAGGCCAAAAAGGUCCCAAAAAAAUUAAUAAUAAAGAAACAGAUAAUUUGUAUUAUUUAAAAAAAACAGAAUGUAAUAAAGAUUUGAUUCCAGUUCUUUAAUCUUUAAAGCGAUUGAAAAACAAUGUUGCUCUUUUCCCAAAGUAUAAAAUACGAAUUGAAUGCCAAUUAACUUAAUCAUUCAUUUCGUUUAGCUCUAAAUUUAGACAAUGAAUUUUUAUAUUAUUUCAAAAACAGGACGUAAUAGAAUUUUUUUAAAAACAGAUUGUAAUGAAGAUUUGAUUCCAAUUUUUUAAUCUUUGCAGCGAUUGAAAAACCAUACCGCUCUUUUCCCAAAGCAUAAAAUACGAAUUGACUCCCAAUUAAAUUAAUCAUUUAUUUUGUUCAUCUCUGAAUUUAAAUAAUGAAUUUUGAUCUUCAAUCAUAUUCUAACUACUAUUAAAAAACAAGUUACAAAGGUUUGAGGAAGCUGAAAAGCCUUGAUCUAUCGGAAGUUGAAAUUAGAGAUGGAAGCAAGUUGUUACAGUCGAUGGGAUCAUUCCCAUCCCUCAACACUCUUUACCUGAAGGAUAAUAAUUUUACCGAUAUAGCGACAACUACUACUCAAGGUAAGUAAAAGGUACAGAUGUGGCCAAAUUUAUAAAUAAAUUGUUAAUUAAUUAAUUUUUCCGUAUUAUUAAUUAAGCUAAAUUCGUUGCUCCUUCCUUCUAAAUCUAAACAGAGUUGCACAAUUUCACCAACUUGGAAUAUUUGACAUUGACCGGUUCCUCUCUCCAUAUAAGCCUUCUGCAAAGCAUUGCAUCAAUAUUCCCUUUGUUAAAAAUUUUGCCGAUGAUUGGUUGUGAAGUCAAUGGCAUCCUACGUGGUCAAGGUAAAAGAAAAGCGUUGAAUGUGCACUCACUGAGUGUUGUCCUACGUGUUCAAUAUUUUCAUUUAUUCAUUUUAUUGUUUAAUGUUUCUGCUAGGUUUUACUCAUUUCAAGAGUUUGGAACAUUUGGACAUGGAUUACGCGCUCAUUGCACUCAACACCAGCUUUCUUCAAAUCAUCAGUGAAUCGAUGCCUUCUCUUAAGUACUUAUCACUAUCAAAUUCUACUCUUGGCACUAACAGCAGCAGGAUUCUUGAUCAAGGUUAAUCAGAUGCUCCCACCCCCCUUCUUAAUCUAUAAUAUUAAUUUUCAAUUAAAUAUUUAAUUACACAAACGAAUCACUUAUUAUAAAAGAAUAAUACGCAUUCAUUAAUUUUUAUAUUGUAUUAAUUGAUGAAUUUAAUAAAUUUUCAGGCCUCUGUUCGUUGAUGCAUCUGCAAGAGUUGUACAUUGAUAAUAAUGAUUUAAGAGGUAGCUUGCCUUGGUGCAUGGCAAAUAUGACAUCCCUCCGAUUAUUAGAUGUUUCUUCCAAUCAACUUACGGGAAGCAUCUCCUCAUCUCCCCUCGUUCAUUUGACAUCCAUUGAAGAGUUGAUGCUUUCAAACAAUCACUUCCAGAUCCCAAUUUCACUUGAACCACUUUUCAAUCACUCAAGACUCAAGAUUUUCAAUGCUUAUAACAAUGAAAUAAAAGCUAAAAUAACUGAGUCACAUUCUUUGAUCGCCCCAAAAUUCCAAUUAAAUACACUCUUGUUGUCUUCCAGUUACGGAGACAGUUUCAUAUUCCCCAAAUUCAUUUACCAUCAACAUGACCUGGCGUAUGUUGAUCUCUCACACAUAAAGAUGAAUGGAGAAUUUCCAACUUGGUUGUUGGAAAACAACACAAAAUUGAGCCAACUUUCUGUCGUCAAUGAUUCUCUUGCAGGACCUUUUCGGUUGCCAAUUCAUUCACACAAGCAGUUAAGACUGUUGGAUAUAUCCACCAACAACAUCCGAGGCCACAUUCCAGUAGAAAUUGGAGAUGUUUUGCCACGUUUAUACGUUUUCAACAAUUCCAUGAAUGCUCUAGACGGUAGCAUUCCCUCUUCAUUUGGUAAUAUGAAAUUCCUCCAAAUUCUGGACUUAUCCAACAAUCACUUGACUGGUGAAAUCCCCGAGCACUUGGCCGUGGGUUGCGUCAACUUGCAGGCUCUUGCAUUAUCAAAUAACAACCUACAAGGUUACAUGUUCUCUAGAAAUUUUAACUUGACAAACUUGAGAUGGUUACAAUUGGAGGGCAAUCGAUUCGUAGGUGAGAUCCCACAAAGUUUGUCUAAAUGCUCCUCACUAGAAGGAUUGUAUAUUAACAAUAAUAGUCUUUCGGGUAAGAUUCCACGAUGGUUGGGUAAUCUCACAUGGUUACAAUAUAUUAUAAUGCCCAAUAAUCAUCUUGAAGGCCUUAUUCCAGUGGAGUUUUGUCAGCUUGAUUCGCUUCAGAUUUUGGACAUUUCAGACAACAACAUAUCUGGAAGUUUACCAUCUUGUUUCCAUCCUCUCUCUAUCAAACAAGUUCAUCUUUCAAAAAAUAUGUUACAUGGACAACUAAAAAGAGGUACAUUCUUUAAUUGCUCUUCCCUUGUGACAUUAGAUCUUAGCUAUAACCGCUUGAAUGGCAACAUUCUGGAUUGGGUUGAUGGGCUUUCUCGGUUAAGCCACCUGAUCUUAGGUCACAAUAAUCUUGAAGGUGAAGUGCCAGUUCAAUUGUGCGAAUUGAACCAACUACAAUUGUUAGAUCUUUCUAAUAAUAAUCUUCACGGUCCUAUUCCUCCUUGCUUUGAUAACACCACACUUCAUGAAAGUUACAGCAAUAGUUCUAGUCCUGAUGAGCAAUUUGAAAUAUUUUUUUCCAUCGAAAGCCCUGUGGGAGAUGUAAAAGAGCAAAUCCAUGAAAUUUUUGAGUUAACAACAAAGAACAUUGCGUACAUUUACCAAGGAAAAGUGUUUAGCCUCCUAUCAGGACUUGAUCUUUCUUGCAACAAGCUAAUCGGUCAUAUUCCUCCUCAAAUUGGAAAUUUGACAAGGAUUCAAACAUUGAAUCUAUCGCACCAUAACUUGACAGGAUCGAUCCCAUCAACAUUUUCAAACUUGAAGCAUGUCGAAAGUUUGGAUCUUUCCAACAACAAAUUGAAUGGAAAAAUCCCUUAUCAACUAGUGGAGUUAAAGACAUUGGAGGUUUUCAGUGUGGCAUACAAUAACUUAUCAGGCGAAAUUCCAGAAUGGAAAGCACAAUUUGCAACCUUCAACGAGAGUAGCUAUGAGGGAAAUACUUUUCUUUGUGGACUGCCAUUGCCCAUUUGCAGAUCACCAGCAACUACGCCGGAGGGUUCAA